rnacentral:lncRNA from 1 species
ACGGAUCUAGACCUGAAGACGGUGGUAGUAUGUUGUUGUUUCAGUUGAGCCGGUGCUCGGUGCAUGGCAUUGUUGCUGUGUUGUUCUUUGGUUCUUGCUGUCGUUGCGUCCUGUGUUAGUGCCGGGAUCGAUAAUAACAAUAGUGGUAGUGGCAGCGAAGUGAACCAGUGAUGGUUUGUGGUAGGCCUGGAUGGAUGGGUAUAAUAGUAUGGUAGUAGUAUAAUGGCAGUAUAUGCAGAUCGAACUACUUAUAUUUUUCAUCUGGGCUCCCCGGUUGAUUCUGUCCUCGUGCGAGCUUGCAUUCAUUCAUUCAUUUUUCCUGCAUUGCUAGUACUAUCUUGGAUUGAUUUCUUGAUCGUUCAGGUCUGAAUGGUUGAUCGCUGUACUUUAAAAAGUGCUCUUCAGAUCUGAACAUUUUCAGCAGUGGGCGGUGCUCCUGGAUGAAGAGAAGACGACUGUCGUCCGUACGGGGCGUCGUGCAGCUAGGGAGGGGAGGGAGCUUUUGUCACGGAACAUCAUCGUAAUCGAGGACGUGAAGGAUUCGAGGAACACACUCCAGUUUGUACUCCGGUGCAACUGAGGCGCUGGAUGGAGCAAAAGCUCGUUGGAUACUUGGAUUCCGUCUCAAUGCAGCGACUCUUCUACAGUCUCCCCCACGAAGACGUAGUAUAAAUUUCCCGUGAAACGCUGAAGAAAUACCAGUAUACAUAUUCAUCUUUGUUUGUAGAUAUUCUGGAACCUGAAGCUCGAAAGAGUUUACGAGCAGAAAAGCUCACCUCAUUCAUUUCAUUUCAAGCUCACUCCUGCCUGCCCUCUACUACCAACCGGAGUCCACGGCUACAGCCAGUAGAGUGUACUCCAGCAUUCACGUCGCAGUUAUGGACGAUCAUAGGAUCCUCUGCUGAAAGCUGUCGCGACCGACGGGCUGGCAAUCACUCCAGCUUUCGCCUGCUUUCCGCUUUCCGGAGCAGGCGCAUCAAUUUUGAACAGCCCUGGAGCCACUGCCAAAUGUUACCGUUCAAACCUGAAAGUGCUGCGUGCCUCGCACCUGCAUUGCACGUACUACCUGCGCAUCAGAGAUCACGGCGAUCUCCGUGCUAGUCCUCCCGCUCGCCUUGUUACCAGUGAUCGUUGCGGUGGUGGUACUGGUUUGAAUCGUGGCGCACGCGGCGGUUGGUUUCGCUUUUGAACAAACCGUGGUGGUGGUGCGGUGCUGAAAAGAAGCGGAGCUCUCUGGAGAAAAGGCACGUGACCGGAUCGGAGCUUUUUCGGAGGCGAAAUGCAGCCGUUGCGUUACGUGGUCCGUACUACUGCAGCACAGCUUCAAGAUCCAACAACUACGCAGAGAGGAGUAGGUUAGAUCGAUCACCGUAGCAAAGAUCAUGUGCUUGGAUCAGGCGUGACGGGAACCUUUUCCCCUCCGCUUUCUCGCUUCUCACAGUCACGUGGGCGGUGCAUGCAUCGGCGAUGGACAAACUCUAGAGGGAGGCCGCACACGAUCUCGUGGCCACAUCCGCGUCGAAGGACGGGCUCGUAUUGUGUUGUGUGGAACACAGGGUGUUUUGUUUUGCACGGUGCAUGGCAGCAUGGGUCCUGCACUCUGUCUAUUACUCCCUCCAUUCCAAAAUAUAGUGCGCCCGCGCUUCCCGAGGUCCAACUUUGACCAUAAAUUUAACCAACGAGACCGACUGCGGCGGGAGAAAAAAUUAUAUAAUUGAAAACUUCUUUUGAAUAUGAAUUCACUGGUAUAACUUUUGCUCCUGCCGCAGUCGGUCUCGUUGGUUAAAUUUAUGGUCAAAGUUGAAGCGCGGGAAUAGAGGAAGCACUAUAUUUUGGAACGGAGGGAGUAUUAUACUUUGUGCACGUUGCACUUUUCUCUAGCUAAUUACUUUUGCCCCUCCGUUCUUCGAGCGAUUUGUCACGGAACUUUACGGUGUCAACGGCAAGAACAGGCUAGCUGGUGAAGGUCGUGCCCGAAAAGAUGGAGCCAGCAGACCUAAACAAGUCGUAGUAGCACUAGAAAGAAGCAGGAUGGAAUGUUGACUUCAAAGGCCAUCUCGCAUCGUGGACCCUUAAACCACCCACAAUUAUCCGGAUCAUUCAGUCGCGUGGUCCGAAAGUGUUUAGCAAUCCAACGCGGGUUGGUAUCGGUCCGUAGGUCGGUCUAGACGUGCUUUCUCUCGAAAACCGGAGACAACUUUGCGGGCGUUCAGGCCUGCCAUACCCGCUCCUAACUACUCUUGCCUACCAAAAAACCCUCCCGCAGCCGCACACUUUCCCGCCUGAAGCCAGCUGUCCACGUCACCGCUCUAGAGCGGCCGAUCCGCAUUGACGCCGAUCUAGAAUAGACGUGACCGCUCGCAUAUAGGAGUAGGUUAGAUCGAUUCACCCUAAUGUGGUAAUGCCCGCUGUAGCAAGAUCAUGUGCCUAUAUCGGGUGUGAUGAAAACCUUUCCCCAUCUGCUUACGCACUCAGGGUGGGAACGGGUCGACCCGGACCUGGCCUUGGACCCGGCCCCGUUGGCCUCGAGGCCAAUUUUAGAGGCCACGGGUCGACCCAAUUCAAAAAAGUCAAUGGCCUCGCCGGCCCGAUGGGUACUUCGGGUCGACCCAAAUUUUAUUUUCUUAUACAAUAUUUGGUUGUGGUUACACAUAGAAUAUUCUCAAAAAUAUGUUAUUAAAAGUAAAAAAAAAUUAUGACCUAAACAUGCAUGAUUGAAAUAAUUAAAGUUUACAAAUGAACCACAAUAUACAAUUUCAGCUCUUUACACGUCCGGUUUAUAAAGGAGGAUUGGGUUAAUGGAUUCCAGUACGUGUACAAAUGUUAGCUAGUUGAUGUUUCGGCUAAUUAGUAUACUGUAAUUAGCUGAUCGCUAGUUGUCGUAUAACGGUAUAAGCUAAGCUAAAGAUGAAUUUGGUGAUACCAAUGGACUCCAGUACUCGGAGAUGGGUCGGCCCUGCUGGCCCAAUGGGUCACUUAGUGCCGGCUCUACUGGCCCGAUUUUUGUACAAGGCCGACCCGACUGACCCAUCGGCUUUGUUUUCUUGGGUCGGGCCAAAGACCCGAUGGGUCGCCCCGGCCCAUUCCCACCUUGAUUACGCACUUCCUACUUCUCAGUCAUGUAAUGAACACUAGUAAGAGCAUCUCUAAUAGAAACACGGUAGCGCGGCAUGUUAAAAAAAACUGCAGCGUUGAAAUAGUGUUUUAGCCCGUGUGGGAGGAUGGUUGCUUUUCCAGGCUCUGCAAAAUUUAGCUGGAGCAGACGCCGAAACUUUUCCAGGCAUAAAAUACCCAACGCGCGAGCGGGCACACCAAAUAUCCAGCGCGCAAUGCAGUUUUUCAUAGCGCGCUGAACCUUGUUUACCGCGCACGGGAUUAUAGCGCGACUGCUGAAGCGCUACUCCCAACGGUGCACAUGGCUAUAUACCCUUUUUUCUGGUGCACGGCUUAUCUAGCGCAUAUGUUGAAGAUGCUCUAAAGAAGUGAUUAUGGACAAACUGGGGAGAUAGUCACAGGAUCUCGUCUUGUGGCCGGUGGGUCGGGUCCGACAUGGGCGUCGGUUGGGUCUAAUAUGGCGGACGUGGCCGAACACACUUGGGUGCUCCCAUAUCCGUCCCAUAUUUGAGUUGAAUAUGUAAGGUAUCGAUUAGCCCGGACGUUUAAAAACCGUUUAAAAGAUUUGUCUAGGUCAAAAAAUUGUGACCGGACAGCUCGCCCGGACGUAUGAAGCUGACCAUCGACAAACUCGGGAGGCAGCACAUGAUCUCGUCUUGCGGGCGGUGGGCCGGCGAGCGCUCGCCUCGAAACAUCAACAUCUGCAUCGAAGGACUAUAUUGCGUGGAACACAGAGUGUAUUGCAUGGUUUGAGUACGGGUUUACCCUUUUUUCCAAUUCAUUACUAUUGCCCCUCCAUUGUUCGAGCAAUUUGUCACGAAACUUUACGGUGUCGACGGCAAGGGCAAACUAACCGGUGAAGUUCGUGCCCAAAAGAUGGAGCCAAUAGACCUAAGCAAGUCGUAGUAGCACUAGAAAAAGAAACACGGAUGGAAUGUUGACUGUAAGCGAAAGUCAUGUUCUGCACGAGAGCUCAUUUGAGCUCGCGAUGAACAGUAUAAUCAUAAAUGAAUAAAUCCGAGUUUCUUUUAUGAUAGACUUUGACAAAUGUUUCAAGUGCUUAUAAAAUUUCAGCGUGAAGUCACAUUCGUGGAAGUAGUGCAAAAGAAAAAUCAGGACCUCAAAAUGCUUUAAAAAAUAACACUUUUGGGGCAUUGAUAUUUUUUUUCCACGAGUUCCACAAAUGUGAUUCUUUGAUUAAUAUUUGUAAGCACUAAAAACUUUUAUCAAUGCAAUUUUUUUUGGAAUUUAUUGUUCACUGAGCUCAAGCUCAAAAAUUAUGUUUCCGACUGUAAACCAUUAUCUGAACUGGUUUGCCUACUGAGCUCCAUGCCCAACAUGGUUAAUUCAUGGAUGUGAAUUACUUCCAUUUUUAGAAUUCGAUUUUCGUUUCUCUACUUUUAUUAAAAAGACUCAGUUGAUGAUGAUGAUGUGUCUGUCAUCCGUCAUUUCUGACCCUUAGAUCUGUAUCUAACGACUGUGAGAUAAGCUGUGUUUUUUUGCAAUAAUAGUCCACUUCUCUGCUCCAGCUUGCAGAAAACCCUCAUUAUCUUGAAACCAACCACAUCCCUCCCUCACCUCAUCAAAACAGCUCAAGGAAUAUAUUUUGAGUGAAACAUAAUAUAUUUUAGUGAUAUAUGUAUAUCAAAACUAGAGUGUUUUCUUUUAAGUUUGUGAAUAAGUACUAUUCUACUUUAAACCCGUUGCAACACACAGGCACAUUGCUAGUAAGUAUAAAAAAACUAUGUCUACGCAGCGUACAAAUAUUAAUAGUUCGAUGAAGUCAGCUCAACACUAGAGUGGUGGCAAAUCAUUGUGCAGAAGGCCCAUUUGAGUUGCAUGGCAAGUGUGUUAAUUUAGUUUCAUACAACUAGUGAAGUGGAAGAAACAUUAAUAUAAAAUGUGAGAUGUUCUACCACUCCUUGUAGUAUGAGAAAAGAGGGCAAUAAUGUGCGCGCUUACUCAUUCACUUUACGCCAUGCCACACAACACAAUGCAUGUCACGUUUUCUGAAUCAAAUUCGAAUUCGGGCUAAUGUUAUGUGCCAGUAAAAUUUUAAAAUUUUGCUCGGCAGUGUGAUAACCCACAUGUAUAGGGGAUCACAACAAUUUUUGAUGGUAGAGUAUUCAACCGAAAUUUAUUGAUUUGACACAAGGGGAGCCAAAGAAUAUUUUUAAGUAUUAGCAGUUCAGUUGUCAAUUCAAUCACACCUGGAGAUUUAAUGUCUGCAGCGAAGUGAUCAGUAGCACAGUAGUAUGAUAGUUUGAUAGUAGUACUAACGAUAUCAGUGGUAACGGUAACAAUAGUGUCAAUAAUUUUGUAGCAGUUGUAACAAUAGUAGCAACAAUAGUAACUUAGCAAAAACAAUAAGUGAAAAGCUCGUAGUCAUUGAAUCGGUGAUAACGUUGGAUAAUAUUCAUCAUAUAAUAGUCAUAACCUAGGGCAACACAGAACUAGCUCGAGUUCAUAAAUAUAAUGUAGGCAUGUAUUCCGCAAAAAGUCAUAUGUGCGUAUGGAAAAGAACUUGCAUGAUAUCUUUUGUCCUACACUCCCGUGGCAGCGGGGUUUAUAAGGAAACUAAGGGAUAUUAAGGCCUUCUUUUAAUAGAGAACCGGAACAAAGCAUUAACACAUAUUGAAUACAUAAACUACUCAAAUUACGGCAAUCACUGGAAAUAAUCCCAAUUAUUGUCACCUUGGGGAAUGUGGAUCGUGACACGUAAUAGGUGCAUAUAAUUUGCAAGAUUGGAUCAAGAACAUAGAUAUAAUGAUGAAAAUAUAAAUGGUUCAGAUCUGAAAUCAUGACACUCGAGCAUUAAGCAUAGCAAAGUCAUAACAAUAUCAAUAUCAGCACAUAGUGGAUACUAGGGAUCAAGCCCUAACAAAACUAACUCGAUUACAUGAUGAAUCUCAUCCAACCCACCACCGUCUAGCAAGCCGACGAAGGAAUUGCUCACUACCGGCGGUGAGCAUUAUGAAAUUGGUGACGGAGGAUGGUUGAUGAUGACGAAGACGGAAGGACCCCAUCUCCGGAGCCCAGAAUGGACUCUAGAUCUGGCCUACCGAUGAAGAACAGAAGGUGGCGACGGCUCUGUAUCGUAAAACAUGAUGAAACUUCCUCACCUAUUUUUUUCUUCAAAAUUAGGAUUUUAUAGAGUUGGAAUUAGAGUCAACGGAGCCUUGUGGGCCCCACUACCCACCAGGGUGCACCAGAGGGGGUGGUGCACCCUGGUGCCUAGUGGACAGCCGGGCCCCCCCUUCCAGUGGGUCUUGGUUCCAAUAAUUUUUAUAUAUUCCGAAAAAAUUCUCCAAAAACUUUUAUCCAAUUCCAAGAAUUUCUAUUUAUGCACAAAAAUGACAUCAUGGUAGUUCUACUGAAAACAACAUCAGUCCGAGUUAGUUUCAUUCAAAUCAUGCAAAUUAGAGUCCAAAUCAAGAGCAGAAGUGUUAGGAAAAGUAGAAACGACGAAGACGUAUCACAGUGCACUACCUAGUUCUGGAUAUACCUAUCAAUACUUGAGUUCAUUUUGGACAUGUUUCUACCCUUAGAGUGCUUCCAUAACUUGUCAGUUUCAUCUCUUCACUCUCCCCAAGCAUCCGUCUAUGUAGAGGAGAUACAAGGAGAGGCUACGCAUUGCACAACACAAAAACACACACAUGCCGAGUUCCUCUUUAUUGAGAUGCUUUUGGGGCUACUCCAUUCCGAUGACUGCAUUCACAACCGUCCGAGAGAGCAGGCCUCCAAAAUCACGUCCCUUGAGAACCUACACCUAGUGAUGGAUGAUGUCUACUACACAACCCUCUUCUUGUAGACAUUGUUGGCUCUCCAGGUGCAGAGGUUUAUAGGACAGUGGCAAAUUUCCCUCAAGUGGAUGGCCUAAGGUUUAUCAAUCCGUGGGAGGCGUAGAAUGAAGAUGGUCUCUCUCAAGCAACCCUGCAACCAAAUAACAAAUAGUCUCUUGUGUCCCCAACACAUCCAAUACAAUGGUAAAUUGUAUAGGUGCACUAGUUUGGCGAAGAGAUGGUGAUACAAGUGCAAUAUGGAUUGUAGAUGUAGGUUUUUGUAAUCUGAAAAUAUAAAAACAGCAAGGUAACUAAUGAUAAAAAUGAGCAUAAACAGUAUUGCAAUGCGUUGAAACAAGGCCUAAGGUUCAUACUUCCACUAGUGCAAGUUCUCUCAAGAAUAAUAACAUAAUUGGAUCAUAUAACUAUCCCUCAACAUGCAACAAAGAGUCACUCCAAAGUCACUAAUAGAGGAGAACAAACGAAGAGAUUAUGAUAGGGUACGAAACCACCUCAAAGUUAUCCUUUCUGAUCGAUCUAUUCAAGAGUCCGUAGUAAAAUAACAUGAAGCUAUUCUUUCCGUUCAAUCUAUCAUAGAGUUCGUACUAGAAUAACACCUUAAGACACAAAUCAACCAAAACCCUAAUGUCACCUAGAUACUCCAAUGUCACCUCAAGUAUCCGUGGGUAUGAUUAUACAAUAUGCAUCACACAAUCUCAGAUUCAUCUAUUCAAACCAACAGAAAGUACUUCAAAGAGUGCCCCAAAGUUUCUACCGGAGAGUCAAGACAAAAACGUGUGCCAACCCCUAUGCAUAGGUUCAUGGGCGGAACCCGCAAGUUGAUCACCAAAACAUACAUCAAGUGGAUCAGUAGAAUACCCCAUUGUCACCACGGGUAUCCCACGCAAGACAUACAUCAAGUGUUCUCAAAUCCUUAAAGACUCAGUCUGAUAAGAUAACUUCAAAGGGAAAACUCAAUCCAUUACAAGAGAGUAGAGGGGGAGAAACAUCAUAAGAUCCAACUAUAAUAGCAAAGCUCGCGAUACAUCAAGAUCGUAUCACCUCAAGAACACGAGAGAGAGAGAGAGAGAGAGAGAGAUCAAACACAGAACUACUGGUACAUACCCUCAGCUCCGAGGGUGAACUACUCCAUCCUCGUCAUGGAGAGCGCUGGGAUGAUGAAGAUGGCAACUGGUGAGGGUUCCCCCCUCCGGCAGGGUGCCGGAACAGGGUCCCGAUUGGUUUUUGGUGGCUACAGAGGCUUCCGGCAGCAGAACUCCCGAUCUAUUCUGCUCCCCGAAGUUUUUAGGGUAUAUGUGUAUAUAUAGGAGGAAGAAGUACUUCGGUGGAUCUCCGGGCUAUCCACGAUGCAGGGGGCGCGCGCAGGGGGUUGGGCGCCCCCCCACCCUCGUGCGCAGCCCGGGACUCUCCUGGUCCAUCUCCGAUACUCCGUGGGCUUCUUCUGGUCCAAAAAUAAGUUCCGUGAAGUUUCAGGUCAAUUGGACUCUAUUUGAUUUUCCUUUUCUGCGAUACUCUAAAACAAGGAAAAAACAAAAACUGGCACUGGGCUCUAGGUUAAUAGGUUAGUCCCAAAAAUCAUAUAAAAUAGCAUAUAAAUGCAUAUAAAACAUCCAAGGUUGAUAAUAUAAUAGGAUGGAACAAUCAAAAAUUAUAGAUACGUUGGAGACGUAUCAGCAUCCCCAAGCUUAAUUCCUGCUCGUCCUCGAGUAGGUAAAUGAUAAAAACAGAAUUUUUGAUGUGGAAUGCUACCUAACAUAUAUAUAUCCAUGUAGUUCUCUUUAUUGUGGCAAGAAUAUUCAAAUCCAUAAGAUUCAAGACAAAAGUUUAAUAUUGACAUAAAAAUAAUAAUACUUCAAGCAUACUAACUAAGCAAUCAUGUCUUCUCAAAAUAACAUGGCCAAAGAAAGCCAUCCCUACAAAAUCAUAUAGUCUGGCUAUGCUCUAUCUUCAUCACAUAAAAUAUUUAAAUCAUGCACAACCCCGAUGACAAGCCAAGCAAUGUUUCAUACUUUUGGUGUUCUCAAACUUUUUCAAUCAUCACGCAAUACAUGAGCGUAAGCCAUGGAUAUAUCACUAUAUGUGGAAUAGAAGGGUGGUUGUGGAGAAGACAAAAAGGAGAAGAUAGUCUCACAUCAACUAGGCGUAUCAACGGGCUAUGGAGAUGCCCAUCAAUAGAUAUCAAUAUGAUUGAGUAGGGAUUGCUAUGCAACGGAUGCACUAGAGCUAUAAGUAUAUGAAAGCUCAACAAAAGAAACUAAGUGAGUGUGCAUCCAACUUGCUUGCUCACGAAGAUCUAGGGCAUUUUGAGGAAGCACAUCAUUGGAAUAUACAAGCACUACAAAAAAAGACACAUCCAGGACAGAAACUUUGGCUGUAGUGCAUGAAUUUUAAUUUUUUACUGGAACAUCAAAUGGUUCUGAUUCUUUUUGCACUGUCUUGAUGUACAAUUUUUUUAUUGUUCCUAAUUUUGGCAGAAUUUUUAAAGUAUCCUAAGUAUGGUGAAUGUUCAAAUUGCUACAGACUGUUCUGUUUUAGACAGAUUCUGUUUUUGAUGCAUAGUUUGCUUGUUUUGAUGAAACUAUCAGUUUAUAUCAGUGGAUUAAGCCAUGAAAAAGUUAUAUUACAGUAGACACAAUGCAAAAACAAAAUAUGAAUUGGUUUGCAAUAGUACUUAGAGUAGUUAUUUGCUUUAUUAUACUAAUGGAUCUUACCGAGUUUUCUGUUGAAGUUUUGUGUGGAUGAGGUGUUCGAUGACUGAGAAGGUCUCGAUGUGAGAAGAAGGAAGAGAGGAAAGAGCUCAAGCUUGGGGAUGCCUGAGGCACCCCAAGUAAAUAUUCAAGGAGACUCAAGUGUCUAAGCUUGGGGAUGUUGGGGAGGCAUCCCCUCUUUCUUCAACAAAUAUCGGUAUGUUUUCGAAUUCGUUUCGUUCAUGCGAUAUGUGCAAGUCUUGGAGCGUCUUUUGCAUUUAGUUUUCAUUUUUCUUUUAUGCACCAUGCUGGUACGAGAUAGUCCUUGGUUGAUUUAUAGAAUGCUCUUUGCACUUCACUUAUAACUUUUGAGUAUGGAUUUAUAGAAUGCUCCAUGUGCUUCACUUAUAUCAUUUGAAGUUUGGAUUGCCUGUUUCUCUUUACAUAGACAACCGCCAUUUGUAGAAUGCUCUUUUGCUUCACUUAUAUCUGUUAGAGCAUGGGAAUAUCUUUUUUAGAAAGAAUUAAACUCUCUUGCUUCACUUAUAUCUGUUUAGAGAGAUGACAGGAAUUGGUCAUUCACAUGGUUAGUCAUAAAAUCCUACAUAAAACUUGUAGAUCACUGAAUAUGAUAUGUUUGAUUCCUUGCAAUAGUUUUGCGAUAUAAAGAUGGUGAUAUUAGAGUCAUGCUAGUGGGUAGUUGUGGAUUGUAGAAAUACUUGUGUUGAGGUUUGUGAUUCCCGUAGCAUGCACGUAUGGUGAACCGUUAUGUAACGAAGUCGGAGCAUGAUUUAUUUAUUGAUUGUCUUCCUUAUGAGAGGCGGUCAGGGACGAGCGAUGGUCUUUUCCUACCAAUCUAUCCCCCUAGGAGCAUGCACGUAGUACUUUGUUUCGAUGACUAAUAGAUUUUUGCAAUAAGUAUGUGAUUUCUUUAUGACUAAUGUUGAGUCCAUGGAUUAUACGCACUCUCACCCUUCCACCAUUGCUAGCCUCUCUAGUACUGCGCAACUUUCGCCGGUACCAUAAACCCACCAUAUACCUUCCUCAAAACAGCCACCAUACCUACCUAUCAUGGCAUUUCCAUAGCCAUUCCGAGAUAUAUUGCCAUGCAACUUUCAUCAUCAUCAUAUACAUGACUUGAGCAUUCAUUGUCAUAUUACUUUGCAUGAUCGUAAGAUAGCUAGCAUGAUGUUUUCAUGGCUUGUCCGUUUUUUGAUGUCAUUGCUAUGCUAGAUCAUUGCACAUCCCGGUACACCGCCGGAGGCAUUCAUAUAGAGUCAUAUCUUUGUUCUAGAUAUCGAGUUGUAAUAUUGAGUUGUAAGUAACUAAAAGUGUGAUGAUCAUCAUUAUUAGAACAUUGUCCCAUGUGAGGUUAUCAAAAUAAAAGUGGCCAAAGAAUACCCCCAAAAGAGAGAGAGAGAGAGAGGCCAAAGAAGCCUACAAAAAAAGAAAAAAAAGAAAAAAAAAGAGAGAAAAAGAGAGAAAAAGAGAGAAGGGGCAAUGUUAAUAUACUUUUACCACACUUGUGCUUCAAAGUAGCACCAUGUUCUUCAUAUAGAGAGUCUCUUGAGUCAUCACUUUCAUAUACUAGUGGGAAUUUAUUAUAGAACUUGGCUUGUAUAUUCCAACGAUGGGCUUCCUCAAAUGCCCCAGGUCUUCAUGAGCAAGCAAGUUGGAUGCACACCCACUUAGUUUCAGUUUGAGCUUUCAUAUACUUAUAGCUCUGGUGCAUCCGUUGCAUGGCAAUCCCUACUCCUCACAUUGAUAUCUAUUAAUGGGCAUCUCCAUAGCCCGUUGAUACGCCUAGUUGAUGUGAAACUAUCUUCUCCUUUUUGUCUCCUCCACCCAUCAUAUUCUAUUCCACCUAUAGUGCUAUGUCCAUGGCUCACGCUCAUGUAUUGCGUGAAAGUUGAAAAGGUUUGAGAAUGUCAAAAGUAUGAAACAAUUGCUUGGCUUGUCAUCGGGGUUGUGCAUGAUGUGAGUAUUUUGUGUGGUGAAGAUGGAGCAUAGCCAGACUAUAUGAUUUUGUAGGGAUAACUUUCUUUGGCCUUGUUAUUUUGAAAAGACAUGAUUGCUUUAUUAGUGGGCUUGAAGUAUUAUUGUUUUUAUGUCAAAUGAUAGACUAUUGCUUUGAAUCACUCGUGUCUUAAUAUUCAUGCCAUGAUUAGACAUAUGAUCAAGAUUAUGCUAGGUAGCAUUCCACAUCAAAAAUUAUCUUUUUUAUCAUUUACCUACUCGAGGACGAGCAGGAAUUAAGCUUGGGGAUGCUGAUACGUCUCCGUCGUAUCUAUAAUUUUUGAUUGUUCCAUGCCAAUAUUAUUCAACUUUCAUAUACUUUUUGGCAACUUUUUAUAUUAUUUUUGGGACUAACAUAUUGAUCCAGUGCCCAGUGCCAGUUCCUGUCUGUUGCAUGUUUUUGGUUUUGUAGAAUAUCCAUAUCAAACGGAGCCCAAAUGGAAUAAAAACGGACGGAGGUUAUUUUUGGAAAAUAUGGAAAAUUCGGAAGGAAAAUCAAUGCGAACCAGUGCCCGAGGUGGUCACGAGGCAGGGGGCGCCCCCCUUAGGGCGUGCCCCUACCCUCGUGAGGCCAUCGUAAGGCGGUUGAUGCUCUCUUUUGCCGCAAGAAAGCUAAUAUUCGGAAAAAAAUCACGGCGAAGGUUUCAGGCCAAUCGGAGUUACGGAUCUCCAUAUAUAUACGAAACGGUGAAACAGAGCCAGAGAGAACGCAGAACCAUAGAGAAACAGAGAGAUAGAUCCAAUCUCGGAGGGGCUCUCGCCCCUCCCACGCCAUGGGAGCCAAGUACCAGAGGGGAAACCCUUCUCCCAUCUAGGGAGGAGGUCAAGGAAGAAGAAGAAGAAGGGGGGCCCUCUCCCCCUUGCUUCCGGUGGCGCCGGGACGUCGCCGGAUCCAUCAUCAUCACCGCCAUCUUCACCAACAACCUCACCGCCAUCAUCACCAACUUUCCCCCCCUCUAGGCAGCGGUGUAACCUCUCUCUUACCCGCUGUAAUCUCUACUUAAACAUGGUGCUCAACGCUAUAUAUUAUUUCCCAAUGAUGUAUGGCUAUCCUAUGAUGUUUGAGUAGAUAUGUUUUGUCCUAAUGGCUAUUUGAUGAUCGUGAUUGGUUUGAGUUGUAUGUUUUAUUAUUGGUGCUGUCCUAUGGUGCUCUCCAUGUCGCGCAAGCGUGAGGGAUUCCCGCUGUUGGGUUUGCAAUAUGCUUAUGAUUUUCUUAUGGUGGGUGGCGUGAGUGACAGAAGCACAGACCCAAGUAAGUAGGUUGUUUUUGUAUGGGAUAAAGGGGACUUGAUACUUUAAUGCUAUGGUUUGGUUUUACCUUAACUAGAAGAACGCCCGUGCGUUGCAACGGGGCCACAUUAACUUUAAGAGUUCAAUAUUAAUCAUGUUAAUAAUACAUUUAAUAUUCUCAUACAUAUCAAGUGACACUGGCGACCUUUUUUGUCAAUUUAGCAACAGGCUCAAUUGCAACGGGCUCUUUAUACAUAUCAGACAACUCGCUACUACUUAAACUACAACUAUGGCUACCAAUAUUUUUUUGUCUAUUUAGCUCAGCAAUAGUGCCUGGCUUAAUAGACUGCUUUGCAUUCACCCCCUCAGAAGACAGAGAGAACCAACUCAACAUGUCAGAAUAUUAACAGAAAUUUCAUUUGUAUGGCAUGAACAUAUAGCAGGAGCACCAACACAUAGAUCAGCAGAGAGCAGAGCACAGCAUGCACACACUCGGGCCAUCUAUAUCAUACACACACAGCAACGCACACACGCAUCACGCUGGCAUACACAUACAGAAAAGCAGGCACACACUCAUUAUGCGCAUUGGCCGGUGCGACGCACGCAGAGCAAGUACGUACGCACGGAGAGCAAGCUAGCAAGCACGCACGCGUCCAACCCCGCCGCUGCAUGCGCUGGCAGAAGGUGAGGCAGCAAGGGAGACUGCACAUUGAAGCUGUCCAUGCAAGGCUGGAGGUGAUGGGCCGGCGAAGGCGGUGUCGGGAUGGCGCUUGAUUCGUUACCGGUGGCGUGGAGCUUGGGGCGGCAACGCGGCGAUAGCUAGUGCUCGGGGAUGGGGGUUUGGGGCGGGGGCAGUCGACCCGAUGGCUGGCGAAGUUAACGGGCUCGGGCGGCUGGAAAUUCGGUGGGUGGCGGCGGCACAGCGCGAGGAUAGGACAGGCGGAAAACCUAGCGGGCGUUCAACUACCAAUACCCACGUCUUUUUUUAGGGGAAUUGCUUGUGAAAAUAACGUGCGACGACGACUUAGCGAGCGGAUCCCCUUAAAAAAGACAUAGCGAGCAGAUUCCCUUAAAACUGGUAGGAAUGGAUACGAUUGAUGAUGUUGAUAAAUAGUGGUGAAUGUUGGCCUAAUUUACUAUCAUCAUGCAUGGAAACGAAUCAUCAAGAAAAAGAAUACUUCCUAUUACUACACUCAUAGGAAGCUUCCUAAUCUCUGCUACCAAACAGUUUCUGCCCAAACAAGGAAGGAAAGUUAUGGACGUGAUUCGGAAGGAAACAAACGUUAUGAAGAUUAAUUAAUUUAAAUUUGAUCUUUAGAGAUUGAUUGUGAUUGAUUCUUUUACAUAAAGACAUUACUAAAUAAUUUGCGUUAGUAUGGAAAGUUCUGAUCCGUUCAAUUUUUUUCGUUGUGUGAAAGGGUGAAGUGAAAAUAAACCGAUGAAGUGGGGGAGGCGACGAAAAAAAUCUACGACGGUUAACCUACGAAAAAAAACCGGACGAAAGUGGUGGGACGAAAAAAACCCUGGAAGCGAGACUACCAACUGCUCCAUUAGGAGUAGAGAUGAAUCUUUAGUAGUUGCGGAUGCUUGCUAGAGUUCCAAUCAUAAGUGCAUAUGAUCCAAGUAGAGAAAGUAUGUUAGCUUAUGCCUCUCCCUCAAAUAAAAUUGCAAUAAUGAUUACCGGUUUAGUUAUCGAUUGCCUAGGGACAAAUAACUUUCUUGUUGACAAAAGCUCUCUAUUAAAACUAAUUUAGUUGUGUCUUUAUCUAACCAGCCCCUAGUUUUAUUUACGUGCUCGCUUAUCCAAAAACACCUACAAAGUACUUCUAGUUUCAUACUUGUUUCCGGUAAAGCGAACGUCAAGCGUGCGUAGAGUUGUAUCGGUGGUCGAUAGAACUUGAGGGAAUAUUUGUUCUACCUUUAGCUCCUCGUUGGGUUCGACACUCUUACUUAUCGAAAGAGGCUACAAUUUAUCCCCUAUACUUGUGGGUUAUCAAUUUGCAGUCCAACAGGCCUGACAAAGCGACUUACUUGGCAAAUCACUAAAAAACUAGGCUCUGGCCGUGGACCCAGCUAUCAGCCUCUCCAUGUACAGUACACUCCUGAUGGAAGUCGUUCCUUGACCACGUUGACCUCGCCGCGCUGAGAGCACCACGGUGGUGGAUGAUGGCGAGGCCUAGGAAGGGGACGACGCGAUAGUGGAAGCCCGCGCGGAGAGGACUACGAGGGUUCACUGCUUCGGCUGCGGUGUGAGGCUGCCGUCGCCGCAGGGCCUGGCCAGCGGUGGGAAUAGUAGGGGGCGGUGAGGCCUCUACGGCAGCACAGCCGGCCACGGGAGGCAGGAGCAUGCAGCACGACCGGCGCUGCUUUGGGCGGCUGGAGCAAGAAGACGAGAGGUUGAAGAAGCCCUACGACCGUUGGAUGGACAUCGUACGGUCACUGGAGCUAGAAUCGUUCAUAUUGACUAAGUUGACAAAGCCCUUCGUCCCCGUCAACUUAGUAGGCCCACAAGUCAGCCUCCCAGCAAGGUGGGUCCCAGCUAGCCGGGGGAGUAUUCAUUUUUUGUGCGUAAUAAGGAGGCACUUCUGGUGGGUCCGAGCUGACAGCGGGGGCAACGUUUUUUUCGUGAAAUACGGUGGCCCGUCCGGUGGGUCCCAGCAGUCAGGGGGAAAUGAUUUUUUUCGCAAAAUACUGGUGGCCCAUCCGGUGGGUCCCUACUGUCAGGUGGAGGAAUCAUUAUUUUCUGCGUAAUAAGGAGGCACUUCCAUCUGCCACCAUGGAUCCAGCUGUCAGCCUCUCCACGUACAGUCCACGUCCGAUGGAAGUCAUUCCUUGACCACGUUGACCACGCCGUGUCGAGAGCACCAGGGCGGUGGACGAUGACGAGGCCUAGGAAGGGGACGGCACGGAGCCGGUGAAGACGCAGUAGUGGAUGCCCACGCGGAGAGGAGUAUGAGGGUUCACUCGUUCGACUGCGGUGUGAGGCUGCCGUCGCCGCAGGGCCUGGCCAGCGGUGGGAAUAGUAGGGGACGGUGAGGCCUCCGCGGCAGCACAGCCGGCCACGGGAGGCAGGAGCAGGCGGCACGAUCGGCGCUGCUUUGGGCGGCUGGAGCAAGAAGACUAGAGGUUGAAGAAGCACUACGGCCGUUGGAUGGACAUCGUACGGUCACUGCAGCUAGAAUUAUUUACUAAGUUGACAAAGCCCUUUGUACGUUAAUUUAGUAGGCCCACAGGUCAGCUUCUGAAACGGUACGCCCCAGAUGUCAGGGGGAGGAAUCAUUUUUUGGGCGGGUGAAGCUAGAAUAUUCGAGAUUGAAGAAGAAGCACGGCAUCCGUUGGAUGGACAUCCAACGGCCACUGCUGCUAGAACCGUGUGUUGACUAUAAGUUGACAAAGCCUUGUAUACGCGUCAACUCUGUUUUUUAGGGGACGUGUCAACUUAGUAAGGCCACAAGUGUGUGGUAGAGAACUUAUAGUCCAUUUAAGAUUUGUAAGAAUGUGUAGCCCAUUUUUGAAUUCUAAUGGAAUUUACUACAGCUCAUUUACAGUUUGUUAAAAGUACAGCCCAUUCCAACCAACCAUUCAAAACAGAAUUCAAUAAAAUUUCCCAUAUUUUGAUGGGAUCCGAAAUAUUUUUAUUCUGAAAUGUCUAGUCAGAUUAAAUACAAUUUCAAUAUAAAUUUAUAUUAUGUAAAAAUCCAAUGAAACAUUACGUUCGCAACAAUAAUAUUUUAUAAAGUAAUCACGUGUUUGGUGCAUUUUUUUAUAGUUACUGCCCAGUUUUUAUAAUUACAUCCCAUUUAUUAUUUCUUAAACUCAUUUUCUUAUUAAGCCUAAUGCAUCCCUCCUAGGAAAGAUUUGCAGCCCAGCGGGGCGGAGAAUAACAACUUGACCUUACCUGGGUAUUCCUAAAAAAAUAUAGCUGGGCUAGCCAUUUUCAGCUUGAAUAAUAAUAAUAUCUGGGCUGGAUAUCUGGCCUGGGCUAGACGGGCCACAACUCGCCCAGUUAAUACCUGCAGCGAUGUUUUCAUUGUUGUUCAGAGGAGAAAAAUUAAUAUCUGGGCUAAACAUCAAAAAACUCUGCAGUGCUCACACCUCAAAAACACAAAUACUGCUCGAGCUGCUUGGUCCCAGCUGUCGGCCGCUUCUUGUGCAAUUCUCUCGUUUAUUGACUACUAUAUAGGUUGACAAUGGUGUGGGAUCGUGAUGUCAGGAAACCAGGAGGAAGCAAAAUAAAUUACUCCAGCGAGCGCUUCCACCUCUGCCUCAUUGUCUCCCAUGGAAACCCCUUUCCUCCCUUUUUUUGCUCGGGCAAGGACCAAUGCAUGCAACACGUCCAUGCGGUUAUUAGGCAAGAAAUAAAAGCGCUUUGCAUGCUAUGAAUUACGAUGGCCUGCAUGGGUAGCUAAUAAGGCAUCCUCUUAAUUGCUGUGAUUAAAUGUUGUGUUUAGAAGAGAGAAAUAUUCUUAUUUUCCACCAAUCUGCUUGCACCUCGGUCGUGAUGCACCUUCUAAUACGACUUAUUCACCUAGACGGAGGGAGUAUAGUUUUAUACAUAUAUAUAUAAAAUAAGGAGGCACUUGCGUACGUGAGGCUAUGGACCUGGUGGGUCCCCAUUGUCAUCCUCUCCAAGUAAAGUCAUCUCCUCGCCCGCGCGUGCUUUCCGCUCGAAACAGUCAGCGCCACCCGCCCCGCUUCCCGGUGCAGGCGAUUGCUCUGCCUUCAAACGACAUAAGUGCCGUCCGUCCGUCCAUCUGCCGUCCACAUUAAUAAUACGCGGUUGCCGAGGCGGCUACUCCGGCACCACACGUCCGUCCCUUCGCCCGCCCACCAUUGUGUGACGCCCGGAUAAUUAGGCUACAGCAAUCCCCGUUAAUGAUGCCACGUCACCGCAGUUACGAAUGAUAAUCUCGCGUUAGUUCAAAAACAAAUUCAAAUUCAAAAUUGAAUAAAAGGCAAACAUUAAAAGUUUCAAACUUUAAAACUAAAAUUUUCAUGUGUUGCCCAAUGAUGCAGAAGUAACUACGGUGGAGGAACUACACUUUUAUAAAAUGUUUAAAUACUCUUAGAUGAUUAAAACGUUAGCAAGAACAAAUGUCUAAAUGGAUUUAUAAUUAAUAAAAUGUUAAACUAUUUCAUCUAGGUGUUUAAACUUUGGUGACAGAGGUAUAAUUAGUAAUACUGAUUUUGGUACAACUUUUAUGUUUUUAUAAAACUCAGAUAAGAUGGGACUAUAAAUAAAACAGUAAAGAGAAAAAAAGACUACACAUGACUAAAACAAAAACAAAACAUAGUAAAAGGACCCCCCUAGCUGGGCCACCGCCCAGCAGGCUACUAGGCCGCCAGGCCGGCCCAACCGCGCCUGCUACUACACCCCGCCGGGCGCCAGCAACCCUAGCCCCUCUCCCCCACUACCCCGACCCCAACUCUCUCUCGCUCGCUCCCCCACUCCCCCCCUCGAUUUCUAGAUCGGGGCAAACCACCCCCCAGUCGCCCCACUUAUUCCACUCCCCCUCUUCGGGAUCGGGGGCGUUCGCUGCCGCCGCCGUCUGGAACCCCUGAUGGAGCCGCUCCACCACCACCCGCCGUCGUCGGUGCCGCCUCCCCGUCUUCAUCGCUCAUCCUCGCCCUCCUCCUUGCCGGACGCCGUCCACGCACGCCGCUGCCGCACACCAUCACCGCCUCGUGCGGCCACUUCUUCGCCGGAGCCGCCCACCGUCAUCGUCGCCUCCUCGUCCUCCUCCUCGAGCAUGCCUCGCUCAACUACAGGGCUCUGUGAGCCCCCCUUCCCUUCCCCUCUUCCUCCCUGGCAGAUCCGCCGUCGUGCCCGUCUGAGCCUCACUCUUACCGUUCUCUCUGCACGCGUUGCACGCACAUCGCGCCGCGUCUCCUCAUCCUGCGUUGGAUCCCUCUUCCUUUUGUCCCCACGUGAGCACCACCGCGCCGGCUCGCCCGUCGCCUUGCCGCUGCACGCGGUAACCGUGCCGCCCCGCACGAGCGCACAGUGUCGCCAUGGUUGUGACCUGCGCCCCUUGCCACACGCGCUCCGGAGCCCGCUCGCGGCUGCUGCCACCCUGCACCGAUCCGUUACUCCCACCGCCAUUGCCUCCGCCGCCUACCGCUCCCCCUCCUGCGUGCAUCACCUUCUUCACAGCCUCACCGACGCUCUCCUCCGCUCCGGCCAGUGCCCGGGGCCAGCCGGGCUGCGCCCGCCUCCGGCGCUCGUUAACGCCUGGGCGCCCGCGCGCCCGAUAGGCCCUCUGGACUAUGAUAGUGGGGCCCCACGACCCCAGAACGUUUUUUUAAGAAAAAAGGAUUAAAAUAAUAAUAAAUAAAAUCAUUAAUUAAUUAAUUAAUUAAUUAAUUAAUUAAACUAAUUAAUCUUGAUUAGAUUAACCUAAUCAAUUAACUAAACCCUAAUUAACCAAACAGAGUAUGACAGGUGGGUCCCACUGGGCCCACAUGUCAGUUUGACCAGUCAACACCUAUGUUGACUGUCGAUGUCGUGCUGACGUCAUGAUGACGUCAGCAAACACUGUUCUGGAUAAUUUUGAAUUAAAUAAAUUCUAAAAAUGAUUUAAAUCUUUUAAAAUUAAUAUAAAAUAAACCGUAGCUCGGAUGGGAAAACUUUGUACAUGAAAGUUGCUCAGAACGACAAGACGAAUUCGGAUUCGCAGCCCGUUCGUACGCCACACAUCCCUAGCAUAGAAAACACGCAACUUUUCCCCUCCGGUUAAUCUGUCCGAAAACGCGAAACACCAGGGAUAAUUUCCCGAAUGUUUUCCCCCUUCACCGGUACCACCUCGUACCGCGUUAGGCCACACCUAGCAUCACGCCUUGUCAUGUCAUGCAUCGUCAUGCAUUUGUUUGCAUUAUAUUUAUUGUUUCUUCCCCCUCUUCUCUCGCUAGACACCGAGACCGACGCCACUGCUGCCCAGUACGACUACGGUGUUGAUGAUCCCUCUCUCUUGCAAGAGCAACCAGGCAAGCCCCCCCCCUUCAUCACCAGAUAUCGCCUACUCUACUCUCUACUGCUUGCAUUAGAGUAGUGUAACAUGUUACUGGUUUCCGUUAAUCCUAUCCUGAUGCAUAGCCUAUCCUUGCUACUACUGUUGAUACCUUACCUGCAAUCCUAAAUGCUUAGUAUAGGAUGCUAGAUUAUCAUCAGUGGCCCUACAUUCUUGUCUGUCUGCCAUGUUAUACUAUCGGGCCAUGAUCACUUGGGAGGUGGUCACGGGUAUAUACUUAUAUAUUAUAUAUGAUACUUGUGGUGAUUAAAGUCGGGUCGGCUAGUAGGAGUACCCGCGAGUGAUUCUGAUGUUGGGGGCUGAAGGGGCAGGUGGCUCCAUCCCGGUAGAGGUGGGCCUGAGUUCCCGAAGGCCCCUGACUGUUACUUUGUGGCGGAGCGACAGGGCAGGUUGAGACCACCUAGGAGAGAGGUGGGCGUGGCCCUGGUCGGCGUCCGUGGUUGUUUCAAAAUAACAUGCUUAACGAGAUCUUAGUAUUUGAUCCGAGUCUGGCUAUUGGCCUAUACGCACUAACCAUCUACCGCGGGGAUAGUUAUGGGCACUCGACGUCGUGGUAUCAGCCGAAGCCUUCGUGACGUCAGCGACUGAGCGGCGCGCGCUGGGUUGGACCGCGUAACGCAACUUCCUUUGUAAUGGAGGUUGCUAGGUCUGCUCUCCGGCCGCCCACGCAACGUGCAGGUGUGCAAUGGGCGAUGGGCCCAGACCCCCUGCGCCAUAGGAUUUAGACCGGCGUGCUGACCUCUCUGUUGUGCCUAGGUAGGGCUGCGACGUGUUAAUCUUCCGAGGCCGGGCAUGACCCAGAAAAGUGUGUCCAGACAAAGGGGAUCGAGUGUGUUGGGAAAUGUGGUGCACCCCUGCAGGGAAGUUAAUCUAUUCAAAUAGCCGUGAUCUUCGGUAACAGGACGACUUGGAGUUGCACCUUGACCUUAUGACAACUAGAACCAGAUACUUAAUAAAACACACCCUUCCAAGUGCCAGAUACAAUCGGUGAUCGCUCUCUCACAGGGCGACGAGGGGAGGAUCAUCGGUUAGGAUUAUGCUAUGCGAUUCUACUUGGUGAACUUACCAUCUACUCUCUUCUCCUGCUGCAAGAUGGAGGUGGCCAGAAGCGUAAUCUUUGACAUGACUAGUUAUCCCCCUCUUAUUUUGGCAUUCUGCAGUUCAGUCCACAUAUGAUACCCCUUUUCCAUUUGAUACCAAUGCAUACACAUGUAGUGUAGCUCCUUGCUUGCGAGUACUUUGGAUGAGUACUCACGGUUGCCUUGUUCCCUCUUUCCCCCCUUCCUAUACCCGAUUGUUGCGACCAGACGUUGGAGCCCAGGAGCCAGACGCCACCGUCGACGACAACUACUACUACUCGGGAGGUGCCUACUACUAUGUGCAGCCCGCUGACGACGACCAGGAGUAGUUUAGGAGGAUCCCAGGCAAGAGGCCUGCGUCUCUUUCGAUCUGUAUCCCAGUUUGUGCUAGCCUUCUUAAGGCAAACUUGUUUAACUUAUGUCUGUCAUCAGAUAUUGUUGCUUCUACUGACUCGUCUAUGAUCGAGCUCUUGUAUUCGAGCCCUCGAGGCCCCUGGCUUGUAAUAUGAUGCUUGUAUGACUUAUUUUAUUUGUAGAGUUCUGUUGUGAUAUCUUCCCGUGAGUCCCUGAUCUUGAUCGUACACGUUUGCGUGUAUGAUUAGUGUACAAUUGAAUCGGGGGCAUCACAAGUUGGUAUCAGAGCCAACUGCCUGUAGGAAUCCCCCUUCCACACUCCUUGGCCGAAGUCGAGUCUAGACAUUACAAAACUUUUACUAACAUGGUUGUAUGCCUUACGGGCCCACGUCGCCAUUUGGGUGGUAUUAGUAUCUUUUACUCCUCGAUCCUUACUCUGGGACUCUGACAUCUCUUCUAUUUGGGUUAAACGAUUUUACUAACUCUGACUCUAGGUUCUCGUAAUUACUUCCUCCCGGAGAGCCCCUUAUUACAGAUGAUCACCUGCUGCGCGAGAAGAUUCCGAAGCUACUCUCCAAUGUUUUCACAAGACCCUUGUGCCCAUCGACUUUACAAUUCCCUACCACCAAAAUACCCUUAUGGAAAACUACCUACAAUUGUCGUUCAUACAUUUAGCCUGAGUUGCUCUUGUUAUUACAAGAUGCCCUAAAUUGCUCUCCGUUGUUUCGAAAAUCCUUUAAGCUAACUGCCUUGCAGUUCUUUACCACAUGAAUACCCUUAUUGAAAAUUCCUCGCACUAUCGAGUAUCCGUUCACCCCCAGUUGUUUGUAUGCUUCAUAAGAUACUCUAAAAUACUAUCCGACCUUCUGAGCCUCCUAUUCAAACUAUUGCUCUACAAAUACUUGUAUGCUUACAUUAUGGAUGCUCCCAUAUCACUAGCAAUAUCCACUAGUAUCUUUUGACACCGUCAUUUUCAUCCCAUUGAUUCGACAUGUGUGCGAAUGCACACAAUCAUCAAUCAACCCUUCUAUAUUAUCUUCCGGCUCAGACGUCAUUUUGAACAUGAGCUGGUUCUCAACCAAACUAUUUGUCGUCAAAUGUGCCUCUGGUCUAUCCAACUUAUCCGUCCUUGAUCAGAGCGUCUGCUUUUGAUCCUUCGUUUUGGAAACCGUAAUUUCUUUCUAUUUAAGCAUCAGACUAAUCAGGUGAUUCUUGAAUUUGAUGCCUCUGCAUUCUUUCUUCCUCUGAGUGAGUACCGAUACUCACAUUGGCUCCGUUGUGGAUCGCCCGAUCCAUUGUUGGAUUGUUAUCCGAUAGUGUCCUUCAUAUUCAAUCACCUUGUGAGUUCUUCCCCCGAUACAUAAUGCCUUUGGUAAAUUGUAUCCUCUGCUUGGCCAACCAUGCUCUGCUUUUGAGCUUGUGCAUUUACUUUUGAAACUUGUGGUAUAUGUUACUAAGAUGCCCGAUGGGUUGAACCUAUGCCUUCCCCUAAUCCGUGAGAACCCAGAAGUUUUCACAAAUCAUAUUUUCCGGUGUUCUACCAAAUAAAAUUCCAACACUACAGUUUUAUCAAGACGAGAAGUGAAUGAAAGGUUAUGCAUUGAAUAAGUGGGAGUCGACCUUGAACUUUGUGUUCAUGCCCAUGGACCCGAUGUGGAACUUAUCAUGGGAGCUUCUUGUAGUAAUAACUAAUUCCUUGAUCUAAUAUCCUUUGGUAUCGGUGAAUUGAUUCUUUUAUAAUUGUGGUUUCGACCAUAUGUUCUUCUUAGAUCCCAUUUCUCGGGCAAGUUUAAGUACUUGUCUUCUGUGGAUCAAUACACCAGUCCAACCUUUACUUUGAUCUUUCGUCGAGUAUUAUCCCCCUGGUAUCUCGAGAAUAUCUUGGAUCUUCCCGGAACACAAUCUUUUACGCUGAGCUAAGCUUGCAUUGAUUUCCUUGUCUUAUCAUUCCACCUCGAACAACAAGCUUGGUUUCGAGUUCGUGUCGUACCCAUGGUUCCGAUAACCUCUUGCUUCAUCAUUCCUUUGACUUGAUAUCGUCGAUGAGCGAUUAUAUCUUCAUGAAACCUCUCGACAAAUGUGUCAUGAUCUUCAUCAACAUUUUGACCCCUUCCAGGAUAUCAAUUGAAUUCACGAUGAGAAGUACCAUCCUUGCCCUCAAUGAUUUGUGUUAUCAUCGACCACUUUAUUGCCUUCCAUUCAACACAGACUUGUUCGUGUUUCUAGCAACCCUAUUGCUUUCAAGUUAAUGGUCGAUAUUUAAUUCUUAGACAAUUGGUUGUUGAAUCACCUUUCUAACAUUGAUCAUGCUACCUAAGACCAUAUUUUGGGUGCACUUUUCAACCAAUGCUUAAUUGUGUAUGUUUUCCUCGAGCAUACAUCCUUAUAUCAUUUGAUCCGACAAAUGUUAUCUCCUUGUUCACAUAAGUGUGGAAAUCCAUCUUUUGAAAAUCUCACUGAAUUGUCGCUGAGUCCAGCAGCCACCUCUUCAUCCUCUCCUUGGUUUUAAUGAUGAACUCUUGUUUCGGAACUCGCUUCCAUAGUACAUCUCCCGAUAAUCUUACAAUGUCGUCUCGUCAAUUGUGUUGUACCUUUUCUUCUCAGACAUCCUGAGUCUGAGGUAUCCUGACACCCUUCAGAUCUGAAUCUCGGUCAGAUAUGAUGGUUAGAACAAAUUCCCAAGAGUUAUAACAUUAGUAUUUGACCCGAUAAGGUGAUGUCAUGCCUAGCACACCUGGCCAGAGGACCUAUUGUUAUAGUUUCCUUUUAGCAAGGUUAUCUAUUCUUCCAUGAGGAAAUGGUAAGACUUAUUCUAUAAGUUGUUCCUGAUGAAUCCUUCGUGUAUCCAGAGUCUGACCUUUUGCUUGAAGACCAUGUCAAUGCUAUCCCAAAGCAUGUCUAUGGUAAUCCGAUUUUCAACCAGAACAUUUGAAGCCCAAUGCUAAAUGUUUCUCACUCAAUUAUCCAAACAACGUUGUAUGGGUAAUGUCAUGAAAUUUCUCUCACCUUACCUAAAGGGUUUUCUACAUUAGAUCUUGUCCAGGAUAUCAUGCUCUGCUUGUCCUUGGGAAGGAUAUACCCUUGAAAUAUGUGUUUAAACACAUUUUCCUUUCCAUUGUUCUGUUUAAUCUGAUGAUCACCUUUUCCUUUCCAUUGUUUUGUUUAACCUUAUUGGUGAUCUAUAUGAUCUAAGCAUUAAUAUUCUCCUGGUUAUGUAAUCACGUCGUGUACAACUCGGUCAGUAAGACCCUGUUACUAUUGUUGAUGAUAUUCUGGUAACCACCGAUGGACGAGAACUUUGCCUAUUGGUCCGCCUCGUUUUGACGAGCAGGGAAAUGGUUCUCUUCGUCCCUCACCCUUGUUACCGAUGUUGUCGCCAACAUAACUGACAAGCUAUCCUCUAACCUGCCUUGCUGUCAUGUCCAUACAAGAUGUCAGUGCCCUUCCUACUUUUAACCCACAUGGUGGGCCCAUAACCCAUAGGUCCCAGGAUCGAAACCUGACUCUCCUGUACCCCCUGCUCCCAAAGUUAUUCCUCCCGCGUGGACUCGUAUGUAAUUCAUGAGCCACCUUCCAAUGAGAUCAUCAAUUCUGGCAUCAGACACAAUAAUUUUUCCGUUGCUUUGAGAUCCUUUCACCUUCUGACUAGGCAUUGAAUGAUUUCCUGGUUGCUUGAAACUUCUUAUUGUACCUUUGAACUUUACUCUGGAUAUGUUUUAUUUGUUCAACUCGAGAGGUACUCAUACACUCAUUCGUGGGUUAAUCCCAGAUUAUUACCCUUAUAGCAUUUUGUCGUUGCCGAUCUGCCCCGUUACCUAUUCGUAAGUACGAUGAAGAUCCCAAAGAAAGGAUGCCUACUUCAUCAUGAUGACCUGAAUCAGACAAAUGAAGACAUCAACAUAGUGGAUCGACCGCUUCGAGAAGAGCAACCAAGGCCGAGAAGAUUCGUUAGAAUAUUGUAACGAGACCUCUCUCCCUUAUUCCACCUCUUAAAUCUCGGGACGAGAUUUUCUUGUAGUAGAGGAGAUUUGUGACGCCCAGAUAAUUAGGCUACAGUAAUCCCCGUUAAUGAUGCCACAUCAGCGUAGUUAUGGUUGAUAAUCCCGCGUUAGUUCAAAAACCAAUUAAAUUCAAAAUUGAAUAAAAGGAAAACAUCAAAAUUUUCAAACUUCAAAACUAAAAUGUUCGGGUUGUGCCCAAUGAUGCAGAAGUAACUACGGUGGAGGAACCACACUUUUAUAAAAUGUUUAAAUACUCUUAGAUGAUUAAAACUGUAGCAAGAACAAAUUUCUAAAUGGAUUUAUAAUUAAUAAAAUGUUAAACUAUUUCAUCUAAGGGUUUAAACUUUGGUGACAGAGGUAUAAUUAGUAAUACUGAUUUUAGUACAACUUUUAUGUUUUUAUAAAACUCAGAUAAGAUGGGACUAUAAAUAAAAGAAUAAAGAGAAAAAUAAAUAAAUAAAGAAAAAGACUAAACAUGAUUAAAAUAAAAACAAAACAAAGUAAAAGGACCCCCCUAGCUGGGCCAUGGCCCAGCAGGCUACUGGGCCGCCAGGCCGACCCAACCGCGCCCGCUACUACUCCCCGCCGGGCGCCAGCAACCCUAGCCCCUCUCUCCCACUACCCCGACCCCCACUCUCUCUCGCUCGAUCCCCCACUCCCCCCCCCCGAUUUCUAGAUCGGGGCAAACCACCCCUCCCACAGUCGCCCCACUCGAUCCACUCCCCCUCUUCGGGAUCGGGGGCGUUCGCCGCCGCCGCCGUCUGGAACCCCCGUUGGAGCCGCCCCACCACCACCCACCAUCGUCGGUGCCGCCUCCCCGUCUUCGUCGCUCGUCCUCGCCCUCCUCCUCACCGGACGCCGUCCAUGCACGCCGCCGCCGCACACCAUCAUCGCCUCGUGUGGCCACUUCUUCGCCAGAGCCGCCCACCGUCGUCGUUGCCUCCUCGUCCUCCUCCUCGAGCACGCCUCGCUCAACUAUAAGGCUAUGUGAGCCCCCCUUCCCUUCCCCUCUUCCUCCCUGGCAGAUCCACCGCCGUGCCCGUCUGAGCCUCACUCUCACCAUGCUCUCUGCAUGCGUUGCACACACAUCGCGCCGCGUCUCCUCAUCCCGCGUUGGAUCCCUCUUCCUUCUGUCCCCGCAUGAGCACCACCGCGCCGGCUCGCCCGUCGCCUUGCUGCUGCACGCGCCAACCGUGCCGCCCCGCACCAGCGCACCGUGUUGCCAUGGUUGUGACCUGCGCCCCUCGCCGCACGCGCUUUGGCGCCUGCUCGCGGCCGCUGCCACCCCGCACCGACCCGUUACUCCCACCGCCGCUGCCUCCACCGCCUACCGCUCCCCUCCUGCGCGCAUCACCUCCUUCACAGCCUCACCGACGCUCUCCUCCACUCCAGCCAGUGGCCAAGGCCAGCCGGGCUGCGCCCGCCUCUGGCGCCCGUUAACGCCUGGGCGCCCGAUAGGCCCUCUGGACUAUGACAGUGGGGCCCCACGGCCCCAGAACAUUUUUCUUAAGAAAAAAGGAUUAAAAAUAAUAAUUAAUAAAAUUAUUAAUCAAUUAAUUAACUUAAUUAAUUAAUUAAUUAACGUAAUUAAUCUUAACUAAUUAAUUAAAGAAUUAAUUAAACUAAUUAAUCCUGAUUAGAUUAACCUAAUCAAUUAACUAAACCCUAAUUAACCAAAUAGAGUAUGAUAGGUGGGUCCCACUGGGCCCACAUGUCAGUUUGACUAGUCAACACCUCUGUUGACUGCUGACGUCAUGCUGACAUCAGCAAACACUGUUCUGGAUAAUUUUGAAUUAAAUAAAUUCUAAAAAUGAUUUAAAUCUUUCCAAAUUAAUAUAAAAUAAACCGUAGCUCGGAUGGGAAAACUUUGUACAUUAAAGUUGCUCAGAACGACGAGACGAAUCCGGAUACGCAGCCCGUUCGUCCGCCACACAUCCCUAGCAUAGCAAACACACAACUUUUCCCCUUCGGUUAAUCUGCCCGAAAACGCGAAACACCUGGGAUAAUUUCCCGAAUGUUUUCCCCCUUCACCGGUACCACCUCGUACCGCGUUAGGGCGCACCUAGCAUCAUGCCUUGUCAUGUCAUGCAUCGUCAUGCAUUUGUUUGCAUUAUAUUUAUUGUUUCUUCCCCCUCUUCUCUCGCUAGACACCGAGACCGACGCCGCUGCUACCCAGUACGACUACGAUGUUGACGACCCCUCUCUCUUGCCAGAGCAACCAGGCAAGCCCCCCUCCCCUUUAUCACCAGAUAUCGCCUACUCUACUCUCUACUGCUUGCAUUAGAGUAGUGUAACAUGUUACUGGUUUCUGUUAAUCCUAUCUUGAUGCAUAGCCUGUCCUUGCUACUACUGUUGAUACCUUACCUGCAAUCCUAAAUGCUUAGUAUAGGAUGCUAGAUUAUCAUCAGUGGCCCUACAUUCUUGUCUGUCUGUCAUGCUAUACUAUCGGGCCCUGAUCACUUGGGAGGUGGUCACGGGUAUAUAAUUAUAUAUUAUAUAUGAUACUUGUGGUGAUUAAAGUCGGGUCGGCUCAUAGGAGUACCCGCGAGUGAUUCCGAUGUUGGGGGCUGAAGGGGCAGGUGGCUCCAUCCCGGUAGAGGUGGGCUUGAGUUCCCGAGGGCCCCCGACUGUUACUUUGUGGCGGAGCGACAGGGCAGGUUGAGACCACCUAGGAGAGAGGUGGGCCUGGCCCUGGUCGGCGUCCAUGGUUGUUUCAAAAUAACACGCUUAACGAGAUCUUGGUAUUUGAUCCGAGUCUGGCUAUUAGCCUAUACGCACUAACCAUCUACGCGGGGACAGUUAUGGGCACUUGACGUCGUGGUAUCAGUUGAAGCCUUCGUGAUGUAAGUGACUGAGCGGCGCGCGCCGGGUUGGACCACGUAAUGCAACUUCCUUUGUAAUGGAGGUUGCUUGGUCUCCUCUCCGGCCGCCCACACAACAUGCAGGUGUGCAAUGGGUGAUGGGCCCAGACCCCUGCGCCAUAGGAUUUAGACUGGCGUGUUGACCUCUUUGUUGUGCCUAGGUAGGGCUGCGACGUGUUGAUCUUCCGAGGCUGGGCAUGACCCAGAAAAGUGUGUCUGGACAAAGGGGAUCGAGCAUGUUGGGAAAUGUGGUGCACCCCUGCAGGGAAGUUAAUCUAUUCGAAUAGCCGUGAUCUUCGAUAACAGGACGACUUGCACCUUGACCUUAUGACAACUAGAACCGGAUACUUAAUAAAACACACCCUUCCAAGUGCCAGAUACAAUCGGUGAUCGCUCUCUCACAGGGCGACGAGGGGAGGAUCAUCGGUUAGGAUUAUGCUAUGUGAUGCUACUUGGUGAACUUACCAUCUACUCUCUUCUCCUGCUGCAAGAUGGAGGUGGCCAGAAGCAUAGUCUUCGACAGGACUAGUUAUCCCCCUCUUAUUCCGGCAUUCUGCAGUUCAGUCCACAUAUGAUACCCCUUUUCCAUUUGAUACCAAUGCAUACACAUGUAGUGUAGCUCCUUGCUUGUGAGUACUUUGGAUGAGUACUCACGGUUGCCUUGUUCCCCCUUUCCCCCCUUCCUAUACCCGAUUGCUGCGACCAGACGUUGGAGCCCAGGAGCCAGACGCCACCGUCGACGACGACUACUACUACUCGGGAGGUGCCUACUACCACGUGCAGCCCGCUGACGACGACCAGGAGUAGUUUAGGAGGAUUCCAGGUAGGAGGCAUGCGUCUCUUUCGAUCUGUAUCCCAGUUUGUGCUAGCCUUCUUAAGGUAAACUUGUUUAACUUAAGUCUGUACUCAGAUAUUGUUGCUUCCGCUGACUCGUCUAUGAUCGAGCUCUUGUAUUCGAGCCCUCGAGGCCCCUGGCUUGUAAUAUGAUGCUUGUAUGACUUAUUUUAUUUGUAGAGUUGUGUUGUGAUAUCUUCCCGUGAGUCCCUGAUCUUGGUCGUACAUGUUUGCGUGUAUGAUUAGUGUAUGAUUGAAUCGGGGGCGUCACACAUUGCUAUAUAAACUGCUGCGCGGGCCAUAGCUGCAGUCAUCCGCAUCCGUUCCCUUUCUCCUGUCCACACCACUACUGCCCACCAUGGCUUCCUCGCGGUCCAGCGCUCUUUGAGACGGGCGGACGACGGACCACAAGGACAUGGCAGCCAUUGCUGCCGACUUGCUAGCUGGCAGGCAGCCGGAAGACGACGACGUCCCACUGGAGAACAUGAUAGUCGACGAUCCGGCACCAACCCCCUCCUCCGCGCCAUCCUCGCCGGUGCAUUGCACCAUGACCAUCGGGGAGGCCCGUGCCCAAUACAUGGACAGUGUGAGGCAGAUGCGUCAGGAGCAGUUCCGGGAGGCACAAGCCGACGCCACCUACAACCACCAUCUCGUCCAGGAGCACCUGCAGGCGGAGGAGCAGGUCGUCGCGGAGCGGGCGGAGCAGGAGGUGCUGCUCGACUCGUGCCGCUCCGCCCGCAAGGGCCGCCUCGAGCGCUGGCGGUACCGCAUGCAGGUGGCGGAGGCUGCGGCUGCCUAUAAAGAGGCUAGCAAAGAGCGCGAUGAAGCGGGCGGGGCGCUGUUUGGCAGGACCGAGGAUGAGGCAGAGGACAAUGCCGGCUCCGACGAGUCCCCGCUCCGCUGGCGUUGACGAGGCCCUACUCCGUCGAGGCCCCGCACUGCCAACAACGAGGCAGAGGACACCGCCGGCUCCGCCGAGGCCCCGCCCCGCCAACAAUGAGGCAGAGGACAUUGCCGGCUCAGCCGAGGCCCCACCCUGCCGGCAACGCGGGGGAGGAUUUCCACCGCUCCGCUAAGGCGCCGCCCGCCGGCAACAAGACAGAGGACAUCCUCGGCUCCGCUGAGGCCCCUCCCCGCUGCCAACGAGGCCGCACCACACAGAAAACGAGGAAGAGUAGAACACGGUAGGUCGCCGUCGCUCGGGUCCAAGUAAGGCCACCGCUGCUACCCUCCUGUUGAAGCCAAGCCAGGCGGGUUGACCAUUGACGGACGGUUAGCUUCUUGGCGGCGACGUGGAGUCAGGGAGUUCUGCUGGAGAAUAAUGCUGCUUCUACUUAACUGCUGGUGCAGCUGGCUGACUGACACGUGGGCCCAAUAGGCCACAUGUCAGUUACGCAACUGCACCUGCAGUUAAGUCACUAAAGCUUCUGUUCGGCUCAGCGGGGCACAGGUGGGUAGCUUCGGUUAAUUAAUUAUACCUCCAGCGCACCCCUCUUUAGUUGAAGAAUGUAUGAAAUGUAAUGAAAGCUGGCAUGUUUAUAUGAAAUCCGACCGUGUAUGAAUGAAUUUAUUUCGAUUAGUUCGAAUUCAUGUAUCACUGGCAUUGGAUGAACAUGCAAAACAAUACGUACUAGCAUUAUUUCCAGGGUGAUCACCUCGUUUGCAGCAGUUUCACAUGUACUCCCUCCGGUCCUUUCUAGUCUGCAUACAAGUUUUGUCUGUAGUCAAAGUAUCUCUACUUUGACCAAUCUUAUACAAAAAAGUAAGCACUUUCACAACAUGCAAAGUAAAAAGGAACAGAAGGAGUACAAAGAGUUUGAGCAGCUUUUUAGCGUUUCUGUACAUUGCAAUCAAACACACAGGCCUGGAAAUUCAUAGAGAACAUUCAAAACAAUCGAUGAUUAUGCAUCUCGGCGACUCACAUGUUAGAGGCAAUAUUUACUUCACAACUAAAGAUUAAAGAAAAAAUUGAUUGACGCUGCUACAGCAAAGGGCGUCCCAUUCGAAAAUAUCAAACGCAUGUCUUGCUAAAAUCAAUGAGCAAAAUUUGACAAGGUUGUCCCAUUCCAAAAUAUCAAAUGCCUACAAUUGUGGAAUGGGCAGGGUUUGCCAUCAGUUUGGACAUUGACAUGGCACCUCGUGCUAAAUAAACCAGCUGUUCUUUUUGUGAAGUUCCACCAAAAUCAACUAAAUUCGCGCGUAGCUUGUAUGAUUUCGCCCUUAUAUGUUGCAACGCCUUGAACUUAUCGGCACCUCCUUUCUUGUGGUGGAAAUGAAUGAUUCAAUGUAUCCAUGAACAUUUUGUGCAGUUCCCAUUGAAAUCAAGCUGAGCACCCCUGUUUGCACAAAUACAAAAAAGUGAUUAGUAUAGAGCAAACUGUACUAUGAAUUGACAGUUUCAACAGGCACAUACAUGGUCCAUGUAGAGCACACUUUUAGAAAAAUGGAACUCACCAGAAAUAAUCCUAGAACAGCAUUGUACUCGCACAUCACAACAAAAAAUGGAGAUUUUAUCAGUCCUUCUGAGCUGAAGUUAGUUUGGUCUUGUGGGGAGUAGUGUAACCAUACUUCAACUGCUCCUUCUGAUGAUAAGAUAGACAGGGCUUCUUCAUCUUGGCAUAAUCGAAACUAGUCACUUCACGUACUUCAUAUUCUUAUUCAGAGGAAGAUGAUCCUGUUGUGCAAAGACAAGAGGACUACUAAAUGCUAGCAUCACUGUUUGCUCGAAAAAAAGGAAAGGAAAUAUUUAAAACACCAUAGAUGAAGCACUUCUCAAGGACAAUACCACUUUUUCAUGACAGUAUCUAAACAGUAGCACAACACCAAUAGAGAUGACAAAGCUCAAUCAUAUGGAUGAAAUCAGUGGGCGAGUACCAACCUUUGUCAGGAGGCUUAUUGUGUAUAGCAUACAGAUGAAGCAAUUCUCCGGAACCAUCUGUUGCUAUGUACGGUGGUGGCCAUGCUUACUAUAUACUCCUCGAUUAGUUUAAUGGUUCCAACAUCUUCUUGUGCAGUUCCACUAAAAUAUAUGGUAUCUUCAAAGAAGAUCCCUGUUUGCACAAGUAGAGAUAAUUACAUAUUACAUUAAGAGUGGCAUCAAAUCAGUGGCAAAACAAUUGCUCGUUCCAGCCAUAGCAAUAAAUUAAGAUGCAAAACUAUAUCAUUACUUGUGUCAUCACAGUUCCAGUGCUUCAUUACAGCACCGGGAGUUGAUUUUUGUUUUUCUUCCCCUUGUUCUUCCCCUUCAUCACUUGGUUCAAUAAAAAAAAGCUUCGCCUUCAAUGUAAGAUUUGGCAUGUCAAUUAGGGAGCACAAUUAUAGUACUAAACUUAAUUUUAUGAUGAAAGUGUCAAAAUACAGGCCAACAGUUGUGAAAUAUCCUUAUCUUACCUCAAUGGGAUAUUACGGUGCACAUACAGAUUGGAAGUCUUGUCUCCAUUUGUGCAGUUCACUAAAAUCAAGCAACAUUAUCGUACAAGUAGCACAACAUAUGAAUGCACACUGUAGAAUCAUGUGAAAGAAGGCUAGUACUGACCUCUCAUGAUGCGGAAUUCAAACAACUCACAAGAAGAAGAUCUGAACCAAAUUCACCUUAACGGAUAGGAAGUAAGAUCUCCUCUUGUGCAGUUCCACUAAGAUCAAGCAAUCAAGCAAUGUUGUCGGUGUGACAUUUUGGUUGAACUGCACAAAACACUCUUAAAACAAAAGUGUUUUCUGCAGUGCAACAAAAGGUCACAAUGGCAACGAGGUGAAGCAGAUAACCCUGUUUACACAGAGGUGCAAAGGAAACAAUUAGUGGUCAAUAACGGUGGAUGACACAGAAGCCAACAAAAAGAAGCAUCUACCUUAUCUAAAUGGGAAAGAAAGCAAGACAGUAGCAUUUCUCAAACGGUGGCAUUGAUUAAUAUUAACAACAGCUAAUGAGUUGCACGAGACAGUGGACGCACCAGCACCAUGUGCAUCUACCGAUGUACUGUGGUCGUGCACAGUUGAUGUCUAGUACACAAUCUUCUUCUUGUAGACGUUGUUGGGCCUCCAAGUGCAGAGGUUUGUAGGAUAGUAGCAAAUUUCCCUCAAGUGGAUGACCUAAGGUUUAUCAAUCCGUAGGAGGCGUAGGAUGAAGAUGGUCUCUCUCAAGCAACCCUGCAACCAAAUAACAAAGAGUCUCUUGUGUCCCCAACACACCCAAUACAAUGGUAAAUUGUAUAGGUGCACUAGUUCGGCGAAGAGAUGGUGAUACAAGUGGUAUAUGGAUGGUAGAUAAUAGUUUUUGUAAUCUGAAAAUAUAAAAACAACAAGGUAACAAAUGAUAAAAGUGAGCGUAAAUAGUAUUGCAAUGUGUGUAAAUAAGGCAUAGGGUUCAUACUUUCACUAGUGUAAGUUCCCUCAACAAUAAUAACAUAAUUGGAUCAUAUAACUAUCCCUCAACAUGCAACAAAGAGUCACUCUAAAGUCACUAAUAGCGGAGAACGAACGAAGAGAUUAUGGUAGGGUACGAAACCACCUCAAAGUUAUUCUUUCCAAUCAAUCCGUUGGGCUAUCCCUAUAAGUGUCACAAACAGCCCUAGAGUUCGUACUAGAAUAACACCUUAAGACACAAAUCAACCAAAACCCUAAUGUCACCUAGAUACUCCAAUGUCACCUCAAGUAUCUGUGGGUAUGAUUAUACGAUAUGCGUCACACAAUCUCAGAUUCAUCUAUUCAACCAACACGAAGGACCUCAAAGAGUGCCCCAAAGUUCCUACCGGAGAAUCACAGCGAAAACAUGUGCCAACCCCUAUGCAUAGGUUCAUGGGCGGAACCCGCAAGUUGAUCACCAAAACAUACAUCAAGUGAAUCACGUGAUAUCCCAUUGUCACCAUAGAUAUCCAUGGCAAGACAUACAUCAAGUGUUCUCAAAUCUUUAAAGACUCAAUCCGAUAAGAUUACUUCAAAGGGGAAACUCAAUUCAUUACAAGAGAGAAGAGGGGGAGGAGAAAUAUAAGAUCCAACUAUAAUAGCAAAGCUCGCAAUACAUCAAGAUCGUGCCAAAUCAAGAACACGAGAGAGAGAGAGAGAGAUCAAACACAUAGCUACUGGUACAUACCCUCAGCCCCGAGGGAGAACAACUCCCUCCUCGUCAUGAAGAGCACCGGGAUGAUGAAGAUGGCCACCGGGGAAGGAUUGCCCCCUCCGGCAGGGUGCCGAAACGGGGCUAGAUUGGUUUUUGGUGGCUACGGAGGCUUCUGGCGGCGGAACUCCCGAUCUAAUCUCUAUUCUUGAAGUUUUAGGGUAUAUGGAGUUAUAUAGGUAGAAGAAGCACGUCACGGGAGCCACGAGGGCCCCACGAGGCAGGGGGCGCGCCCCAGGGGGGUGGGCGCGCCCCUACCCUCGUGAGCUCCUCCUUCCUUCCUUGACGUGGGCUCCAAGUCCAUUGGGUGGCUUUCGUUCCAAAAAUAACUUCUCUAGUUGAUUUCGUUCCGUUUCGACUCCGUCUGAUAUUCCUUGUCUUCAAAACACUGAAAUAGGCAUAAAACAGCAAAUCUGGGCUGGGCCUCCAGUUAAUAGGUUAGUCCCAAAAAUAAUAUAAAAGUGGAAAAUAAAGCCCAAUAUUGCCCAAAACAGUAGAUAAUAUAGCAUGGAGCAAUCAAAAAUUAUAGAUACGUUGGAGACGUAUCAAGUAUCCCCAAGCUUAAUUCCUGCUCGUCCUCGAGUAGGUAAAUGGUAAAAAGAUAAUUUUUGAUGUGGAAUGCUAGUUGGCAUAAUUUCAAUGUAAUUCUUCUUACUUGUGAUAUGAAUAUUCAGAUCCAUAAGAUUCAAGACAAAAGUUUAAUAUUGACAUAAAAAUAAUAAUACUUCAAGCAUACUAACUAAGCAAUUAUGUCUCUUCAAAAUAACAUGGCCAAAUAAAGUUAUCCCUACAAAAUCAUAUAGUCUGGAUAUGCUCCAUCUUCACCACACAACAUAUUUAAAUCAUGCACAACCCCGAUGAAAUGCCAAGCAAUUGUUUCAUACUUUUAAUGUUCUCAAACUUUUUCAAUCUUCACGCAAUACAUGAGCAUGAGCCAUGGACAUAGCACUAUAGGUGGAAUAGAAUGGUGGUUGUGGAGAAGACAAAAAGGGAGAAGAUAGUCUCACAUCGACUAGGCGUAUCAACGGGCUAUGGAGAGGCCCAUCAAUAGAUAUCAAUGUGAGUGAGUAGGGAUUGCCAUGCAACGGAUGCACUAGAGCUAUAAGUAUAUGAAAGCUCAACAAAAGAAACUAGUGGGUGUGCAUCCAACUCGCUUGCUUACGAAGACCUAGGGCAAUUUGAGGAAGCCCAUCAUUGGAAUAUACAAGCCAAGUUCUAUAAUGUAAAAUUCCCACUAAUAUAUGAAAGUGACAACAUAGGAGACUCUCUAUCAUGAGGAUCAUGGUGCUACUUUGAAGCACAAGUGUGGUAAAAGGAUAGUAGCAUUGUCCCUUCUCUCUUUGUCUCUCAUUUUUUGGGCCUUCUCUUUUUUUAUAUGGCCUUUCUCCUUUUUUUGGGCCUUGUCCUUUUUUAUGGCCUUUCUUUUUUUCGUCGAGAGUCUCAUCCCGACUUGUGGGGGAAUCAUGGUCUCCAUCAUCCUUUCCUCACUGGGACAAUGCUCUAAUAAUGAUGAUCAUCACACUUUUAUUUUCUUACAACUCAAGAAUUACAAAUCGAUACUUAGGACAAGAUAUGACUCUAUAUGAAUGCCUCUGGCGGUGUACCGGGAUGUGCAAUGAUGCAUGAGUGACAUGUAUGAAAGAAUUAUGAACGGUGGCCUUGCCACAAAUACGAUGUCAACUACAUGAUCAUGCAAAGCAAUAUGAUAAUGAUGAAGCGUGUCAUAAUAAUGGAAUGGUGGAAAGUUGCAUGGCAAUAUAUCUCAGAAUGGCUAUGGAAAUGCCAUAAUAGGUAGGUAUGGUGGCUGUUUUGAGGAAGGUAUAUGGUGGGUUUAUGGUACCGGUGAAAGUUGCGCGGUACUAGAGAGGCUAGCAAUGGUGGAAGGGUGAGAGUGCGUAUAAUCCAUGGACUCAACAUUAGUCAUAAAGAACUCACAUACUUAUUGCAAAAAUCUAUUAGUUAUCAAAACAAAGUACUACGCGCAUGCUCCUAGGGGGAUAGAUUGGUGGGAAAAGACCAUCGCUCGUCCCCGACCGCCACUCAUAAGGAAGGAAAUCAAUAAAUAAAUCAUGCUCUGACUUCAUCACAUAAUGAUUCAACAUACGUGCAUGAUACGGGAAUCACAAACUUCAACACAAGUAUUUCUCAAAUUCAUAACCACUCAACUAGCAUGACUCUAAUAUCACCAUCUUCAUAUCUCAAAACAAUUAUCAAGUAUCAAACUUCUUAUAGUAUUCAACACACUCAUAAGAGAAUUUUAUUAUUCUUGAAUAUCUAGCAUAUUAGGAUUUCAAGCAAAUUACCAUGCUAUUUAAGACUCUCAAAAUAAUCUAAGUGAAGCAAGAGAGUUCAUCUAUUUCUUCAAAAUAAAACUACCACCAUGCUCUAAAAGAUAUAAGUGAAGCACUAGAGCAAAUGACAAACUACUCCGAAAGAUAUAAGUGAAGAUUAAUGAGUAGUCGAAUAAUUAUGCAACUAUGUGAAGACUCUCUAACAUUUAAUAAUUUCAGAUAUUGGUACUCUAUUCAAACAGAAAGCAAAGCAAAAUAAAAUGACAUCUAAGAAUAGCAAACAUCAUGUGAAGAAGCAAAAACUUAGCAUCAACUGAUACUAACCGAUAAUUGUUGAAGAAGAAAGGUGGGAUGCCAACCGGGGCAUCCCCAAGCUUAGACGCUUGAGACUUCUUGAAAUAUUAUCUUGGGGUGCCUUGGGCAUCCCCAAGCUUGAGCUUUUGUGUCUCCUUAAUUCCUCUCAUAUCACGGUCUCCCUAAAUCUCAAAGCUUCAUCCACACAAAACUCAACAAGGACUCGUGAGAUAAGUUAGUAUAAACCAUUGCAAAAACCUUAUCAUACUCUACUGUAGCAAAUCACUAAAAUUAUUAUUCAACAUUGCAUACUAAAUGACUCUGCAUAUUUAAUAGUCCUAUCCUCAAAUAGAAACAUUAAAGAAGCAAACAUAUGCAAACAAUGCAAGCAUAACAGCAAUCUGCCUAAACAGGAUAGCCUGUAAAGAAUGCUGCAACAUCCAUAAUUACCUAACUCCAAAAAUUAUUAAAGAAAAUUCCCACUGUAUUAAAUUUAUGAUAUCUUAAUAUGCAAAAGGUUUCAACAUUUUAUCACAUUCUGACUUUUCUAGGGAAUUAUUGCAACAGCGGUAAACUUUCUGUUUUCAAACAGCAACAUGUAUACUUGUAACAUAGGCAUAGUAAAGGCUAUCAAUGCCACUUUUAUUGAAAUAAAAGAUGCAAAACAUUUUUCUAAAUAACAUCAAUCAAAUAUUAACAAAAUAAAUUGAUGCUCCAAGCAAAACACAUAUCAUGUGGUGAAUAAAAAUAUAGCUCCAAGUAAAGUUACCGAUGGAAGUAGACGAAAGAGGGGAUGCCUUACGGGGCAUCCCCAAGCUUAGGCUCUUGGCUAUCCUUGAAUAUUACCUUGAGGUGCCUCGGGCAUCCCCAAGCUUAGGCUCUUGCCACUCCUUAUUCCAUAGUCCAUUGAAUCCUUACCCAAAACUUGAAAACUUCACAACACAAAACUUAACAGAAAACUCGUAAGCUCCGUUAGCGAAAGAAAACAAAACACAACUUCAAGAUACUGUAAUGAACUCAUUAUUUAUUUAUAUUGGUGUUAACACUACUGUAUUCCAACUUCUCUAUUGUUUAUAAACUAUUUAACUAGCCAUAGAUUCAUCAAAAUAAGCAAACAACACACGAAAAACAGAAUCUGUCAAAAACAGAACAGUCUGUAGUAAUCUGGAUCAAACGUAUACUUCUGGAACUCAUAAAAUUCUCAAAUAAAUUUCUGGACCUGAGGAAUUUAUCUAUUAAUCAUAUGCAAAAAGAAUUAACUAAAUAUAGCUCUCCAAAUAAAAAUGGCAGCAAUUCUCGUGAGCGCUAAAGUUUCUGUUUUUUACAGCAUGAUCAACAAGACUUCUCCCAAGUCUUCCCAAAGGUUCUACUUGGCACAAACACUAAUUAAACACAUAAAAACACAUGUAAACAUAGGCUAGAUGAAUUAUUUAUUACUAAACAGGAACAAAAAGCAAGGAACAAGAAUAAAGUUGGGUUGCCUCCCAACAAGCGCUAUCGUUUAAUGCCCCUAGCUAGGCAUGAUGAUUUCAAUGAUGCUCACAUAAAGGAUAAGAAUUUUAACAUAAAGAGAGCAUCAUGAACAAUAUGACUAGCACAUUUAAGUCUAACCCACUUCCUAUGCAUAGGUAUUUUGUGAGCAAACAACUUGUGGGAACAAUAAUCAACUAGCAUAGGAAGGUAAAACAAGCAUAACUUCAAAACUUUAAGCACAUAGAGAGGAAAUUUGAUAUUAUUUCAAUUCCUACAAGCAUAUAUUCAUCACUCAUAAUAAUUUUCAGUAGCAUCAUGAAUGAAUUCAACAAUAUAACCAGCACAUAAAGCAUUCUUUUCAUGAUCUACAAGCAUAGAAAAUUUACUACUCUCCACACAAGAAAAAUUCUUCUCAUGAAUAAUAGUGGGAGCAAACUCAACAAAAUAACUAUCAUGUGAUUGAAAAUUAAGAUCAAGAUGACAAGUUUCAUGGUUAUCAUUAUUCUUUAAAGCAUACUUGUCAUUACAAUAAUCAUCAUAGAUAGGAGGCAUGCUUUCAUCAUAAUAAAUUUGCUCAUCAAAACUUGGGGGACAAAAAAUAUCAUCUUCAUCAAACAUAGCUUCCCCAAGCUUGUGGCUUUGCAUAUCAUUAGCAUCAUAGAUAUUCAAGGAAUCCAUACUAACAACAUUGCAAUCAUGCUCAUCAUUCAAAUAUUUAGUGCCAAACAUUUUAUAGAUUUCUUCUUCUAGCACUUGAGCACAAUUAUCCUUUCCAUCAUACUCACGAAAGAUAUUAAAAAGGUGAAGCGUAUGAGACAAACUCAAUUCCAUUUUUUUGUAAUUUUCUUUUAUAAACUAAACUAGUGAUAAAACAAGAAACUAAAAGACUCGAUUGCAAGGUCUAAAGAUAUACCUUCAAGCACUCACCUCCCCGGCAACGGCGCCAGAAAAGAGAUUAGUUGACGGGGUGUUAGUGCCGCUUUCCUCGCCUCCCCGGCAACGGCGCCAGAAAAGAGCUUGAUGUCUACUACACAACCUUCUUCUUGUAGACGUUGUUGGGCCUCCAUGUGCAGAGGUUUGUAGGACAGUAGCAAAAUUUCCUCAAGUGGAUGACCUAAGGUUUAUCAAUCCGUAGGAGGCGUAGGAUGAAGAUGGUCUCUAUCAAGCAACCCUGCAACCAAAUAACAAAGAGUCUCUUGUGUCCCCAACACACCCAAUACAAUGGUAAGUUGUAUAGGUGCACUAGUUCGGCGAAGAGAUGGUGAUACAAGUGGUAUAUGGAUGGUAGAUAAUAGUUUGUAAUCUGAAAAUAUAAAAACAGCAAGGUAACGAAUGAUAAAAGUGAGCGUAAACGGUAGUGCAAUGUGUGGAAAUAAGGCCUAGGGUUCAUACUUUCUCUAGUGUAAGUUCCCUCAACAAUAAUAACCUAAUUGGAUCAUAUAACUAUCCCUCAACAUGCAACAAAGAUUCACUCCAAAGUCACUAAUAGCAGAGAACGAACGAAGAGAUUAUGGUAGGGUACGAAACCACCUCAAAGUUAUUCUUUCCAAUCAAUCCGUUGGGCUAUCCCUAUAAGUGUCACAAACAGCCCUAGAGUUCGUCCUAGAAUAACACCUUAAGACACAAAUCAACCAAAACCCUAAUGUCACCUAGAUACUCCAAUGUCACCUCAAGUAUCUGUGGGUAUGAUUAUACGAUAUGCGUCACACAAUCUCAGAUUCAUCUAUUCAACCAACACAAAGGACCUCAAAGAGUGCCCCAAAGUUCCUACCGGAUAAUCACGAUGAAAACAUGUGCCAACCCCUAUGCAUAAGUUCAUGGGCGGAACCCGCAAGUUGAUCACCAAAACAUACAUCAAGUGAAUCACGUGAUAUCCCAUUGUCACCACAGAUAUCCACGGCAAGACAUACAUCAAGUGUUCUCAAAUCUUUAAUGACUCAAUCCGAUAAGAUUACUUCAAAGGGGAAACUCAAUUCAUUACAAGAGAUAAGAGGGGGAGGAGAAACAUAAGAUCCAACUAUAAUAGCAAAGCUCGCGAUACAUCAAGAUCGUGCCAAAUCAAGAACACGAGAGAGAGAGAGAUCAAACACAUAGCUACUGGUACAUACCCUCAGCCCCGAGGGAGAACUACUCCCUCCUCGUCAUGGAGAGCACCGGGAUGAUGAAGAUGGCCACCUGGGAAGUAGUGCCCCCUCCGGCAGGGUGCCGGAACGGGUCUAGAUUGGUUUUUGGUGGCUACGGAGGCUUCUGGCGGCGGAACUCCUGGUCUAUUCUCUGUUCUGGAAGUUUUAGGGUAUAUGGAGUUAUAUAGGCAGAAGAAGCACGUCAGGGGAGCCACGAGGGUCGGCGCCCCCUACCCUCGUGAGCUCCUCCUUCCUUCCUUGACGUGGGGUCCAAGUCCAUCGGGUGGCUUUCGUUCCAAAAAUAACUUCUCUAGUUGAUUUCGUUCCGUUUUGACUCCGGCUAAUAUUCCUUUUCUUCAAAACACUAAAAUAGGCAUAAAACAGCAAAUCUGGGCUGGGCCUCCGGUUAAUAGGUUAGUCCCAAAAAUAAUAUAAAAGUGGAAAAUAAAGCCUAAUAUUGCCCAAAACAGUAGAUAAUAUAGCAUGGAGCAAUCAAAAAUUAUAGAUACGUUGGAGACGUAUCAAUAGUCUGUUGCAACAAAGAACAAACAACCAAGGAGCAUAUUUGUGUUGGUCCCAGUUUUGUUAUCUUUAGACGCCUUUCCCUAUGUGAGCGCAACAAAUCUAGUCCUGCUCAAACUCUACAGCCUUGUCCCUUCCUUUCCUUUUUGAACUAGUACUUUCGCCCCUUCCUUUCCUCUUUGAACCACAUCCUAGAUUUAUGCGAUACAACUUUCCCCCAUUCCUUUCCUCUUUGAACCACGUCCUAGAUUAAUGCUAUACAACUUUCCCCCUUCAUUUCCUCUUUGAACCUCGUCCUGGAUUCAUGCUAUAUACAACUUUUCCCACUACUUUCCCCCACUCCUUUCCUCUUUGAACCAUGUCCUAGAUUCAUGGUAUACAUGCAGCUAGAGCAAUGCAUGUGGAGUAAGUGAAUUAUACCUUAAGGUUCUUGGGGCGUGGUUCGGUGGGCGACGGGACGGCGGCGAAGAAGAAGGGGUCGGAGGCCCUCCCGCGCCGUCUAUGGGUGGAAAGUGAAUAGCUGCGCCGGUAGUCCCUCGCCGACAGCAACAGUGUUAAGCCUCCUUCCCUUCCCGGCGAUCGGAUCCUGCCGGCUCUUUGAGCAGCAGUGAGGGGAGAGAGAGGCCAACGAAGUCUUGUUUAGAUCUGGAGAGGACGAGAGAGUGUGAAGAGAGCAACUACAAGUGCUGAGGCUCCAGCAUGUAUAUAUAUAAUGGAGAGAGUGUGUGAAGCGUGCAAACCCUAGAAAACAUUUUAACCAGUCAAAGAAUCCUCCCGGCACAAAUUAUGCUCAAGUGUAGUUAUCGAACCCGAGACCUCAAGUUUGAUGAGCGAACAGGCUAACCAGCUACACAACCCUCCCGUUAUGCUCAACGAGAGGGAAAUAACCUUUUAUACAUUCCUGCAUUCGUGUGACAAGCAUGCUAUGUUUUUUUGUGUGUGUGGGAGUCAUUGGGAUUUCAAUCAUAAUCGUGUCAUGUGGCUUUGGUGGUAAGACUAUCCACAGUGGUGCAGAAAUAAUGCAGCCUUAGUCACCUUACCUCUAUCCAUAUAGUACGUUGGGUCCCACCAGUCAGAGGGUGAAACAAACAAAUUAAUAAGAAAAAUUAAAAGCGCCAGCGGUGUAUCUUACCUCACACAUCUCGCUACUGCUCGAGAACACUGUCCAAUUGAUCCCUCUGUUUGCUCACGUACUAUUUUAAGUGAAUCCUUAUUAUAACAUGCACACAAAUUUUGGGCACUUGUAUUCGACUUAAGUCAAUGUUCCACCGUAUCUCGUAUACUUACUACUCCCUAUGUCUAGGUGUAAUAAGUCACGUUAGAAGGUGCAACGGGACCAAGGUGCGUGCGUGUGCGUGUGUGUGUGUGUGUUAACACCAUGUGUGUGUUAGAGAGAGCGACAGAUCGACCUACUCCUACAGAGAGAUGUUGUGUAGUGUACGAUUUUAGCCGCGAGAGUCGGUGCAUCCUCUCGUUUCUGGGCGUUUCCGGUAGGGACAUGCGGACAACUGCCACGCCCGCUCCUGACCAGCCUGGCCCACCCAAAGCCCCUCCAUCGCCCGCACGCGCUUCCCGCCCGAAACGGUCAGCGCUGCUCCAAAGAAUCGGUGCCGCAUUCAUGCCCGGGCAGAGCGGACGCGACCUGUCAUUGGUGCAAGAAUGAUGGUUGCUUCGCCCGUCCAACUUACUGCUCGGUCUAUGCGAUUUGUCGGCUCAUUGGUCUAUGCAAAUAAGUAGAGAAAUAUCCACAGGGAGUGAUGUGGGCAGCUGGAGCAGUGGUGCAAGCCGGCUGUAAAGGGAGUUGUACCUGAGGGACGUAGCUCAACCUUGUGGAGGGCAGCGGGAGGCGGCAACUGCCCACGUCACAGCAGUGAGCAAGGGAUGAAGGCAACCUCACCGGCUUUGUGAGAGAGAACAACGGGGACCCCUGAUCGGGAUGUGCCGACAGUGGAUUUUCACCGUCGGCGACGGCCACCGCAUCUACACUAAGCAUCCACCCCUUCCCCAAGCGGACGUGAUCCACCGGGAUGUUAGAGAUGUGGCCACAGUCAUUUUGUGCGAGAGAGUGUGAAGAUAGCAACCCCAGCAAGCAACCGUGUAGGCUGGCCCAUCCUGACUAUGUAUAGUGGAGCGCUUUCCUUUUCUCUCCAUAUGAACCUAUCAUAUUGCGUACGUGCCACUGAAGAAAAAAAACUUUAUUUAUAGAUGACGCGGCACCUACUACUCGUUCUCCUAUAACCUUGCGCUUGGCAUCUCCAAAAUAUUAACCUUGCGAUUGGCUCUUUGCCUCUUCGGGAAGUCGAGCAAUAAUGGUAGUGCAGUAUAUAUUAUUCUGGCUAUAUGAGACCGAAUGAAUUGUUGCACGUCCACCACGUGGGCGAGGGUCGAGGGGCGAGGGAGAGUGCUACAUAUGGAGCAAAAUGAGUGAAUCUACACUCUAAAAUACGUCUAUAUACAUCAGUGUUUGGAGUAUGUACUAGUAGUUCAUAUUGAAAUCUACUAAAGUACAUAUAUAUUCCAAACAAUAUGAUAUAAUCUCUAUAACCAAGGUAGUAGGGAUGAGGAGUAAACGGAGGGAGUAGUAAAUUUUUCUCCUCGUCCUGCGAGCCACCGCGCGCAUGGGCGAGGGAGCGGGCGUAAGGCGUAGUAAGCAAGCUUCACCUCAUCCUGCGAGCCACCACGCCCGUGGGCAGGGGAGACGACGUACUAAGCAAGCUUCUCCUCGUUCUGCGAGUUGACGGGACACAUCAAAAGUACUCCAGUGUAUAGAGCCUUGCCUCUAAGGUAGGCCCCACAUGGUUUGCCUCUUUUUUUAACAUAACACGUCAAGUCGCAAUUUGUUUGUUCACCUGUGGUAGACGAUCCUCCCUCCACCAAGUGGACAACUAGUACACGUGCCAAAUUACCACGUGGGCUGCCUUUUUCGUACAGAAAUGAGCUCCACCGUGUACCCGCGCGGGUGUGGUUGGGAAAGAGACGGGAGUACGUGCUCCGUGCAUGCACCUCUUCUCUUCGUGCACAUCCCCCACCUACGUGGGUGUGUGUGAGAGAUACAAACCGCGUUCGUGAGUCUUUUUUGUUUUGGGGUGGGGGUGGGGUGGGGGUUGAUUUCAUGAAUUAUUCGUGGGAAUAUGUGUUGAGGACAUCUCAAACAAAAUUUUGCAUGCAAUGUGUGUGAAAUGGAGGCCUAUCCAUAUCAUACAUAGAGGGUCGGGCAAUCCACGAGAAUAGAGGGAGGGGUCAUAGCAAUUGAUAGAGUCGAAGAGAGGAUCAAGCGGGUGGGUGCAAGAUCGAUCAAGAGAGCCAUCGAAAUUGUGUGUGUGCGUACAAGUCAAAGAUAUAGGGCGACUGGCCUACCGGAACGUUAGAGGGCACACGUCAAGUUUGUGUGUGGCAGGGAGACAUGACUAGAGCGCUCGAUGUAUCGGUGUGUGUGGGGGGAGGGGGGUGGUGGGAGGGGUAGGCAGAGGCCUAACUAUAGAGGUAGAACGACUCGUAUAUGUGUUGAGAAGGAGAGACCCAGCUAUGUCUUGAGGGAGAUCAGUCGACAUCCAUACAUAACUGAAGGACGGGAAAUAUUAUGGGAGAGAGAGAGGGAGGGAGAGGGGUAGAGUGCUGGAUGGGUGAUGGAGUUGCUUCUCGAAGAUGGUGGGAGAGGCCUACUAGACAAACUGAGGGUGGAACUGCAAUGUUAUCAAUAAGAGUGGGGAUGUGUUUCUGUGUGUUCCUGUGCGUGAUAGAUCUGUCGGGACGCAUCCAUGGAUGAUGAAGGGGAACCAUGUGUUUGGUAAGCAAACCUAACUAGUCGAUAGAUCAAUUAUUGUUUGUCGGAGGAAGGGAGAGACACAACUAAUGAGGUAGAUCGAUUGACGUGUGGGUAAAAACGAGUUAUAAGGACCUAGCUAGCUAUAUGUAUAGCGAGAGAUCGGUUGGUGUACGUCCAUUUGUUAGAGGCAAAUAAGGCCCAGCGAGAUGGAUAGACAGAGAGAAUGGAGCUAGGAGGUGGUGCGAGAGGCCCAACUACUAGCUAGAUAGGGGGAGGAGUGUGCGGUUGUGAGAGCGAUGAAAAUAAGGGCGGGAGUUUACACGUGUGUCUGACCGUAUGAGAGACACGAGGCAAGGACACAUAAAGGAGGAGAUUGAAGGUGUGUUUGUAUGUAGUAGGCAGGCAUCGCUGGAGAGGUUUAUCGAUCGGUGUGUGUUAGAAAGGAGUUGUGGAGACUCUGGGAGAACGACCUAAAGAAAAAAAAAUGAAUGUGCCCGGUGGAUAGAAUGCCGAGGGAGGGGGAGGGCAAGGAGGGUGUGUGCAUGCAUGAGAGAAAGUUAGUGGUAGCUACAAAGGUUAGAGGAUUGUGUGGGUGUAAGAGACUAACAAAGAUCAUAAUUUGAUAUGAAAGCGGAUUCAUAUAUUUGAAUAGGAGAUCAUAGUGUUUUAAACAUUGCAUGCAUGAAUAUAGCGGUGAUACACGUGUUGUGCACAUGUUAUACCAUAAUGUGAUAAUACAUGGCGUUUGCAACUCACAGCUAAAUGCCGAACAAUCUAAACCAUACUAUACAUCAAACAAUCUCACAUUUUAUUUGAAUUUGUGAUAAUGUGUGGCGUUUGCAGCUUACAACUAAAUAUCGAACAAUCUAAACAAUACUAUAUAUCAAACAUUCUCACAUUUUAUUUGAAUUUGUGGUAAUGUGUGGUGUUUGCAACUCACAUCUAAAUACUGUAGGCGUAGGGGAUGGGGCACCAUACAUAAUGUGAUAAACACAUUAUACAUAUGAGACAUGGUUUAGAUUAUGAAGAUCUAGCUAGAGCUAGAAAUGUAAUGUGAUUUGAAAUCAAAAUAAAGUGGAUUCAAAAAAUCUAGUUCGAGUUCAUAUAGUACACAUAGUUCAUAUGUAACUCGAGACUAAUCAUGUGGUGUACUGUGAAGAUAAUACACAAACGAUAGUUUAACUUGACAAUAAUGAUGAUUGUAGAUCUUAUUAAAACAAAGAAACAAAUUCAAAUACUUUGACUUCACAACAAUCAUUACUGUAGAUCUUAUUCAAAUAGAGAAACGAAUUCAAAUUUAGUCCAUAUUGAAGCGGUAGUAUAUACGUUUGGAAUGCACUAAAACGUUCAUUUGAGUAUUAGGUUGCAUGCAUUAUACAUGUAGCGAAAUAUUUUAAUUGAACAUAACAUGAAUUCAAAGUUUUGAAUGACAUUUGUACACGUUAGGCUUUUCCGGAAAUUUCAACCCGCGCCUUGUUAGCCCGAAAUAUUUAAGAUAUAUCUUUGUCUUGUUGUGCUCCGACAAUUCCCUCCAUCUCAACCCGCGCCUUGCUAUUCCGAAAUUACAACACGCGCGAAAACUGCCACCUCCUGUGAAAUCCCGACACGUGAAAUGCCCAUGGUAGCCCUGAACCGAAAGAACCGCCUCAAAUUGGUGGGGGUACUUUCGUAACUUACCCCACAUUUCGGACAAGCGCGUCUCUAAGCCAUGGUUCCCCACUGCCAUCCCAUCCGCCCACCCAUUCGUACACCGAGGCCGCGAAAACCCGCGACGAAACCCCACACCCUGCUCCGUCUGCCACCCAGCCGGAGCCUCUUCCCCGACGACGUCGUCCACAGCAACACCUCGACGUCCCUCAUCCACCUUACCGGAUGAGGAUCCGUCGUCGAUCUCAUCGUCCCGCUGGUUCAGCCACCCCGUCCUCCACCUCCAUGGAGCUGCCCCGAUGUUCCCCUCGUCUUUCGCGCUACCUCCAUUCCCACACCGCCGUCUUCACCUGCACCACCGGAAGAGCAUCAUCAUCACUGUUUCCUCGGAUGAAGCUGCGGCCUAAUCGGCGCCACCGAAGAGGUUGUACACUAAUCACCGCAUUUUCUUCUUGAUUCGAUCUCACGGUGCUGCCGGCGCUCGGUCCCAAGCCGACAUGGCGCGGCUCCAUCCACGGCAGCGUCGCCGACCACUUCCUCCACGGCGUCGCUCCCUCGGCGGCGACGUCCACAUCAGUAGGACCUGCUGCUGCUUUAGCUCUCGCUCGCGCUAUUGCUCUGCUCUUGCUCUUGGUCCCCUGCCUGGUCUGCUCUUGCUCGCGCUGCUGCUCUCGCUCUUGCUCUUGCUUGCGAUGCUGCUCCGAUUUAGCUACACUUCACUCUGAUGCCGCCGGGGUGAAGGAAGAACCAGCCACAGCUGGGAGGGGGGCUCGCCGAAGAGGUACCCCACUAUCUAUCUUAGGGUUCAGGAUGGGGGCGGUGGUCACCGAUGGUGGCGGGGCGUUGGCGGGACGGUGGCAUGGGGGUCGCCAGNNNNNNNNNNNNNNNNNNNNNNNNNNNNNNNNNNNNNNNNNNNNNNNNNNNNNNNNNNNNNNNNNNNNNNNNNNNNNNNNNNNNNNNNNNNNNNNNNNNNNNNNNNNNNNNNNNNNNNNNNNNNNNNNNNNNNNNNNNNNNNNNNNNNNNNNNNNNNNNNNNNNNNNNNNNNNNNNNNNNNNNNNNNNNNNNNNNNNNNNNNNNNNNNNNNNNNNNNNNNNNNNNNNNNNNNNNNNNNNNNNNNNNNNNNNNNNNNNNNNNNNNNNNNNNNNNNNNNNNNNNNNNNNNNNNNNNNNNNNNNNNNNNNNNNNNNNNNNNNNNNNNNNNNNNNNNNNNNNNNNNNNNNNNNNNNNNNNNNNNNNNNNNNNNNNNNNNNNNNNNNNNNNNNNNNNNNNNNNNNNNNNNNNNNNNNNNNNNNNNNNNNNNNNNNNNNNNNNNNNNNNNNNNNNNNNNNNNNNNNNNNNNNNNNNNNNNNNGGCUAGAGGGUUGGCCGGGGCGGCGGCGGACCGGCGGUGGGGAGUGUUUUCAGGGCGGGCGGGGCGGCGCACCGCCAGCCACAGGCGGCGGGGGGCUGCUGUUUGGCCGGCUCAGGGGAGUGGAGGUUGAAGAUGAACCGCAUGCCCUUGAUUUUGUAUCCAACGGCUGCAAAAUCGACUGACCAGAGAUGAAAAAGUCAGUCGACCGACGUGUAGCCUCACCUUGCUAGCGUGUUCAGUUUCGACAGCAAAAUUCAGUUUCGACAGCAAAAUUCAGUUUCGACAGUUAAGUUCAGUUUCGACAGUUAAGUUCAGUUUCGACAGUUAAAUUCAGUUUCGACAGUUAAGUUCAGAGAUGAGCAGCUGAUGUAUUUUACAUCUAUCACUUUGUGUUUAUGUAUUUUACGUCAUGUAUUGGAGAUGCUAUUAGAAUUCCACUCAGGUUAACGUUGUUCGUUGUCUCUCUUGUCCUGCUUUAGCCUUGGCGUCGUACAACUCACCGGAGCUGCUCCAACGACAAAACCCUCCAUCAUAGCGGAGCAGUACCUCGGGCUCCAUCUCCAGAUGCCUAAGAUCUUCUUCCCCUCCUCCGACAGCCAAGUCAGCCGGAGCAUCCUCACCGGCCAACCCAAUCACGCUGAGAUCGACAUGGCUUCGCCAAAGAGGUUAUACACUUGUUGCAUCUCUUUUUUACUCUACAUGUUAUAUAUAUUGUCCACUAAGCACACGGAUUUGUUCCUUUAGUGUCUCCUUGAAAGAAAAAACGUUGGAAUUUUAAUUUUCACUUGUCCUCCUUUUCAAAUUCCUAUUCAUGAAGCACAAGACUAAGAGAUAGUAGCAUAAUAGCAUUAUAACCGUACAUUUUCUUGUGGUUUGACUUAAUCUCACCAUGCUUCUUUGCAUCCUGUGAUCUUCCAAUUGUUGUGAAUCAAACACCCAGAUUGGCAGAAAUCCUAUGUUUUUAAAUUCUCUGUUUUGCACGUGCAUUCCUAUCCUAUUCCUGUCUAUUUCCUAUCCCUGCAUUGUUGGAAUCCUCCAAUUCAAACGAGCCCUUACAGAAUUACUUCUCUUACAGAUAGUUGUCAAAGAAAACCUUACGUGGUUUGUCCCGCUCCUGCUGCGCCGUCGUCCACCCCAGCUCAGCUGCUCCAACGAUAGAAGGGUCCAGCACAGCAGGGAUCCGGCCUCCAGACUGUCUUUCGCCGCCUCAGAUCUUCUUCCCCGCCGCUGGCAGCCAUGAAAACUGCACUACCAUCAUCAACCGAGCAGAUGACCUCGAGGACUACAUGGGUCCGCAAGAGAGGCCGCACUCUUUCAUGUCUACUUACGUUAUGCAUCGCUUAAUGUUACAUGCUACUUUAUCGUCCUUUUCACCGAUUAGACUCUGAGUCAGCUCCAAACUAAUGGUCAAACUUGAGUUUUUAAAUGGUUGUGGGGUACAUAUCGGGGCCGCUAUCAAUAGUAUCUAUCUACUAUCUGGUUAAUCUCUGGUGUCUACUAUGAGUUUCAUGUUGGGUGGGAAACAAACAGUAAAGAAGCCAUUAUCUGUAUUUUUUAACUGAAGCCAUUAUCUGCCUGCUAUUAUUGGUUUUGGGUCUAUCCACAGGUUGCUACCAUCACUCUGGAUUUCUGCAUGCACUCCUUACAUAAUCUCACUAUGUUUUAUUCCUAUGCAUGAAAAUAAUUGUAAACAAUGGAACUGAACAUGUAGAGCAAAAGAGACGAGCCUUGUGUGGCAAUAAAAUUUCAUGCAGACGUCGCUCCAUGGUAGGCGCAAACGCAGCCCCCCUCCACGCAUUUCGGAUUGUAAUCGAGAGGAAGAUAUCUGUUCUGAGGGGGAUUCAGAAGGAGAAGACAACUUCUAUUUACCCCUUGAGGUCUUCGCUCUAACUUGGCAUGCUGAUGUUGGUUAUAUCAUGCAUAUGGUGUCUUGCAUUGCUUACUUUAUACAUCAAAUAUUUCAUCUGCUUAGUUUAGAUAUCCUUUGUGCGAAUGCCAUCUGUUUAGUUUAUUCAUCGUUUAUGUGAAUUAUGCAACGCCAUCUUGUUUAGCCAGGCAUCAUAUAUGUGAAUUUUCUAAUGUCAUCCUGCUUAGCCAGUCAUCUUAUAUGUAAAUUAUAUCAGGCCAUCCUUUUUUCGUUACAUAUUACAUUUUUCAACAAUGUUAUUACAUUCAACUGCUCUUCGUGUGCAUCAGCCAUUUGACACGGUGAUGGCAAAUUCUGGAGUGAAAACAAGGCCUUCAGAGCAGAGUAAGCUAUCUGACGAAGCGCAUAUCUCGCUGGUUACGGAUAGCUCCUCAGAGGAGGAUUCAGAGACAGAUGACCAGUCCUAUUCCCCCCCUAAGGUGUAUGCUCUAACUUGGUAGGGUUAUGUUGCUCAUAUCGUGUGUAUGGUGUCUCGCAUUGCUAUGUCAUUUGAUUAGUUUAGACAUGCUUUGUGUGAAUGCCACCUGUUUAGUGUCUAAUUACCAUAUAUGUGAAUUAUGCAUUGCCAUCUUGUUGCAAGACAUUAUAUAUGUGAAUUAUACAAUGCUAUCUUGUUGCAAAGGCAUUAUAUAUGUGAAUUAUGCAAUGCCAUGCUGUUUAGCCAAUCAUCAUGUAUGUGAAUUAUAUCAUGCUAUCAUUUUUUUGUAUUACGUGUUCCAUUUGUCGACAACGUUUGUAUAUUCAACUACUCUUCCUGUGCAUCAGCCAUUUGAAGCGGUGAUGGAAGUAUCUGGAGUGAAAACAAGGUAUUCAGAGCAGACAAUGCUACCUGCUGAAACAGACAUCUUGCUGGUUACAGAGAGCUCCUCAAAGGAGGAUUCAGAGACUGAUGACCACUCCUAUUUUCCCCCUGAGGUCUAUGCUCAAACUUGGCAGGGUUAUAUUACCCAUGUCAUGCAUGUUGUCUUGCAUUGCUUAGUUUUUAUAUCAUAUAUGGAUUGCCAUCUGCUUACUUGCUUACUAUAUAAAUCAUAUAUUUGAAUUAUAUCAUGCCAUCAUGUUUACAUAGUACAUACACAUCAUCUAUCUGAAUUAUGGCAUGGCAACCCAUUUAAUAAAGACAUCAUAUAGUUAUAUCAUCUCAUCAUGUUUAGUGUUUACAGUCAUCAUAUUUUGAAUUAUGGCAUUCUAUUCGUGAAUGUAUGUGAAUUAUGGCAUGCCAACCUAUUUAAUAAACACAUUAUAUAGUUAUGUCAUGUCAUCCUGUUUACAUAGUCUCAUAUUUUGAACUAUGCCUUUCCAUCUUUUUUAGUUAGCCAUCAUAAUGUGAAAUUGUGUCAUGCUAUCCUGUUUAGUUAGCCAUCAUAUAUGUGAAAUUGUGUCAUGCUAUCCUGUUUGGUUAGACAACAUAAAUAUGAAUUAUUUCAUGCCCUCUUUUAUUCCCCACUAUCCAUUGCACCUGUCUAUCAUACAAUGUCUAUACUUUCAAUUACUUUUCUUGUUUAUCAGCCAUUUGAAUUGGAGAGCGUGAUGGCAGUAUCUAAGGGAGUAACAACACGGUCUUCAGAAAAGAUAGUGCUACCAGUUGAUGCAGAUAGAACCACGGUUGUACUUGCCCAAGGACCAGAUCCACCACACAUAACCCAGACUCUCGCAGAUUGUACCCCUACCCAGUUGGAUAGAGAACCAGCUACACCCCUUCUAACCCCAACCCCGGCAGAUAGUAACCCAGUUCUAGUUGACACAGCACCGUCUCCACCACAGAGCACCCAAACACGAGCAGUUAGUAAGGGAACUGCGGUGCCCAAAGCACAAGUAGCACCACUCCGAAUCCCAACUCAACGCUUAUAGGAGAAGAAGAUUUGUUCUCAGGUCAGGUUCUGUAGCUAUGGUUCAUACUCCUUUGCUCUUGCAUGACUGUAUUUACUCAUACCAACUAUUUUCAAAUUUGAAGGAUGGAAUUGAAACUCCAAUGGCGCAAUAGGUAUGUUUUAAACCUGUUUCUUUAACUGGUUUGCUGUUGUAACCUGCUCUAUGUUGAUUUCAGUUUAAAUUGAAUAAACAGUUAUGUUCUCAUGUCAUGCACAUUACAAGUGUUGUUAUUGCUCUAUAGUUACCCACACUUAUAUUCUGUCUAUUCUGCUUUGUCUUGAACAAAUAUUAUUUGAACUGUGUCUCUAUCUUGAUUUGGCAACAAAAACUAGAAUGAUAUAGACCAUAAAGUGACCAUGGUACAUAGAUAUAUGUUUGUUUCAUGCUGUUAUCCUGUCCACUUUACUACUGAACUCAUUUACCAAAAUGAGUUUCAUAUACAACAUGGUAAACAUGUGAUGUGUCUGCUUGUUUCUCUUUUAGAAUGCGGACAAAAUAUUGGAGAACAGUGCCGCGUUAUCCAAUGGUAAAGGAAGUAAUGCAGAUAAGGUUCAAGAUAGUGAGACAUCCCUGUUGGUCUCCAAGAAAGCUGAUAAAACUAUCUUGACGACAGUGAGGGAACCCAAAAGUCAUGUCUUGAUGUAGUGUUUGAGUUACUAGCCAGUACUGCUGGCACAAGCUCUUCGAACUCGCUGCCUGAAUCAGUUCGUCUUCUUGAGUCUCAACUUCAAGUUGAAAGACAUCGAUCAGAUGUGCUGCGACAGGAAGCAGAAUUCAGAUGCAUAUUUUCUGGUGCAACAACAAGCGCUGGAGGAUUUAAGCGCCAAACAAGAGAAAGUUAAUAAGCUUGCUAAGCAUCUUGCCAGCAUUAUGGGUACCCAGGAUAUUGUUUCUUCAGAUCUUCUGAAGUGGUUUCAGUUCUGGAUUUGUUCUGCUGCGGUGUUUAUUUGCGCUGGUCGCCAACUUUGACAACCAGUGUAUAUGAUAUGCUGCUUUGUUCCCUAUAUUUGCACUAGUGGCGAACUUUGAUGCCUAGUGGAUGUAAUAUGUGUAAUAGCUGUGAUAGCCUAGCGUUAGUUGCUUGCUUAUUUAUUUCCUUGUUGUCUUGUUUAUUUGUUUGCUUGUAGUCAUUGCAGUUCUUUUUCCGCGGUUAGCUAGUGGCUGCAAUAACCUAUUUUUUAAACUAGGCCACAAUAACCAUGGGCUAAUAUUUACUGUAGUGACACUGGGCCUCCUACUGGCCGUAGAAAUAGUGGGCCUUCUACGGGCCGUAGAAACAAUGGGCCUUCUGCGGGCCAUAUUAUCAAUGGGCCUUAUAUGGGCCGUAUAAUCGAUUGGCCAAACAUGGGCCAAACAGACCGCAUUAUGGCCGUAAAUGGGCUAGAGUUGGAAUCGUCCGUUCAUGGGCCGACCAUAAUGGGCCAUCGUUAAUAGGCCGUAUCUGAUGACGCUAUGAAAUCGUCCCAACGUAUUAACGGACCACAAACGGGCCGACUGUAACCACGGGAUGAAUUUGGCCCACAAGCAGAAAAUGACAGUAAUGGGCCGUAAGUAAACGAAUGUUGGAAAUGAGCCCAAGAAUAAAUGAGUUGUGAGAAGUUCGAAAGAUAACAUGGGCUGGAAACGGCCCAAUGGAAUAACGGGCCAUUAAUGGGUAUAAAGUGAUACAUUGUUCAUUACGGGCCAGUUUCACCACGUGCCAUUAAUGGGUGUAAAGUGAUACACUGUUCAUUACGGGCCAGUUUCACCACGGGCCGUUAGUAGGCCAAGAGUUACAUAGGGCCUCAUAUGGGCCGAAAGACGUCAUGGGCCAUACAUGGGCCAGAAGUGAAAAUGGGCUGGAAUCAUAUUGGAUGGCCCAGAUGACGCUACUAGGCCUAAUUCGGAUAGGGCGUAACGGGCCUUGGGUUAGCGGGCUGUAAAUGGGCUAUAUUAGAACAUGCCGUUAACAGGCUUUGCAUGGGCUGGCCCGCCAGCUUUUGACCAAGUCAAAUAGGUCGGCCUUUUCACAGGAAUGGGCCUCUAUUGGGCCGUGCCACGUGUCGACGUAUCAUAGGCGCCUUCCGUCCAAUGAGUGGUUGACAUCUGUCCCAACGAUGAGCCGACACGUGUUUCCUCCAGCCAAUGAUGAUUUUACACGAGGAAAAUCCCCAUUGGUCGGGGUUGUUAACGGGUUAUCGGAUCCAAAACCCGACCCGAUAGCUUAACGACGUUCCGUUACGGUGGAUGCCACGUGUCGGUCACCCUUGACGAAAGCACUUCUAUGACGCGUGAUUUAUCGUCCGUGAUGAUAAUUUUGGUAAUGUCAUGGAACACUUCUACGACAGCACAGGUAUGACUAUCUUGAUUCUAUCAUAAAUUUGUCAUGGAUGUACAUGCAUGACAGAAAACGCGACCUACUGUGACAAACACGUAUCAUCACAAAAGUGUAUUUUUUUUGUAGUGAAGCCAAGUUCUAUAAUGAAAAUUUCCCACUAGUAUAUGAAAGUGACAACAUAAGAGACUCUCUAUUAUGAAGAUCUUCGUGCUACUUUGAAGCACAAGUGUGGUAAAAGGAUAGUAACAUUGUCCCUUCUCUCUUUUUCUCUCAUUUUUUUAUUUGGGCCUUUUUUAUGGCCUCUUUUUUUUGUCCGGAGUCUCAUCUCGACUUGUGGGGGAAUCAUAGUCUCCAUCAUCCUUUCCUCACUGGGACAAUGCUCUAAUAAUGAUGAUCAUCACACUUUUAUUUACUUACAACUCAAGAAUUACAACUCGAUACUUAGAACAAGAUAUGACUCUAUAUGAAUGCCUCCGGCGGUGUACCGGGAUGUGCAAUGACUCAUGAGUGACAUGUAUGAAAGAAUUAUGAAUGGUGGCUUUGCCACAAAUACGAUGUCAACUACAUGAUCAUGCAUAGCAAUAUGACAAUGAUGGAGCGUGUCAUAAUAAACGAAAUGGUGGAAAGUUGCAUGGCAAUAUAUCUCGGAAUGGCUAUGGAAAUGCCAUAAUAGGUAGAUAUGGUGGCUGUUUUGAGGAAGGUAAUGGUGGGUGAUAUGGCACUGGCGAAAAUUGCACGACACAAGAGAGGCUAGCAAUGGUGGAAGGGUGAGAGUGCGUAUAAUCCAUGGACUCAACAUUAGUCAUAAAGAACUCACAUACUUAUUGAAAAAAUCUAUUAGUUAUCGAAACAAAGUACUACGCGUAUGCUCCUAGGGGGAUAGAUUGGUAGGAAAAGACCAUCGCUCAUCCCCGACCGCCACUCAUAAGGAAGACAAUCAAUAAAUACAUCAUGCUCCGACUUCAUCACAUAACGGUUCACCAUACGUGCAUGCUACGGGAAUCACAAAAUUUAACACAAGUAUCUCUCAAAUUCACAACUACUCACUAGCAUGACUCUAAUGUUGCCAUCUCCAUGUCUCAAAACAAUCAUCAAGUAUCAAACUUCUCAUAGUAUUCAAUGCACUUUAUAUGAAAGUUUUUAUUAUAUCCCUCUUGGAUGCCCAUCAUAUUAGGACUAGUUUCAUAACCAAAGCAAACUACCAUGCUGUUAUAAAGACUCUCAAAAUGAUAUAAGUGAAGCAUGAGAGUUCAUUAAUUUCUAUAAAAUAAAACCACCACCGUGCUAUAAAAAGAUAUAAGUGAAGCACUAGAGCAACAACAAACUACUCCGAAAGGUAUAAGUGAAGAUCAAUGAGUAGUCGAAUAAUUAUGUAACUAUAUGAGGACUCUCUAACAUUUAAGAAUUUCAGAUCUUGGUAUUUUAUUCAAGCAUCACGCAAAACUAAAUAAAAUAAAAUGACGCUCCAAGCAAAACACAUAUCAUGUGGUAAAUAAGAAUUAUAGCUCCAAGUAAAGUUACCGAUGAACGAAGACGAAAGAGGGGAUGCCUUCCGGGGCAUCCCCAAGCUUAGGCUUUUGGUUGUCCUUGAAUAUUACCUUGGGGUGCCUUUGGCAUCCCCAAGCUUAGGCUCUUGCCACUCCUUAUUCCAUAGUCCAUCGAAUCUUUACCCAAAACUUGAAAACUUCACAACACAAAACUUAACAGAAAACUCGUAAGCUCUGUUAGUAUAAGAAAAUAAAUCACCACUUAGGUACUGUUUUGAACUCAUUAUAAAUUCAUAUUUGUGUAAUAUCUACUGUAUUCCAAGUUAUCUAUGGUUCAUACCCUCCAAUACUACUCAUAGAUUCAUCAAAAUAAGCAAACAACACAAUAAAAACAGAAUCUGUCAAAAACAGAACAGUCUGUAGUAAUCUGGAUCAAACGUAUACUUCUGGAACCCCAAAAAUUCUAAAAUAAAUUGCUGGACCUGAGGAAUUUAUCUAUUAAUCAUAUUCAAAAAUAAUUAACUAAAUAGCACUCUCCAGUAAAAAAUGGCAGCAAAUCUCGUGAGCACUAAAGUUUCUGUUUUUUACAGCAAGAUCGCAAAGACUUUCCCCAAGUCUUUCCAAAGGUUCUACUUGGCACAAACACUAAUUAAAAUCAUAAAACCACAUAUAAACAGAGGCUAGAUUAAUUAAUUAUUGCUGAACAGGAGCAAAAAGCAAGGAACAAAAAUAAAAA